rnacentral:lncRNA from 1 species
UUCAGGAAUUCCCACUUUGUGUAGCUCAAAAUUGUUCCACAAAUCAUCUAAAAUGAGAAUCCAUUUUUGUUUCUUCCUUAGUUCUUCUGACAAUUUGGCAGCUCUAUGCAGAUCAUCAUCUUCGCUUGAAAGGUCUAGAUGAAGACGUUUAGCAAUAAGAUUCUGCAAUCUAUUAAUGCUGAAAUCUUGAGACACAGUCACCCACCAAACAUGAUCACAAAUAUCUGGUCUUUGUAGAAGCUCAUUAUGGAUAUGUUGCAGUAUUGUGUUUUACCAACUCCCCCCAUCCCAUAAAUGCCAAUGGUUGAGACUUCCAUCCAUUAACAAAGACCAUAUCACCUUCGUAUUCUCUUCGAAUGCUUGACCCACUGGCUUUGUAGAGCUAGUAGGUAAUGGAACUCCUCUAGUCUUGUUGUAUUUCAGACUUUCAGAAGAUCUAGCUCCAGCACUAACCUGCACUGAUCUUCGACUAUUCUCCACAUCCUCCUCCACUGGUUCUGUCCUCACUCUAACCCGAUUAAUUCUCUCUUCCCCGGCACCUUGUUCCAGCACCCCCUGAACUCCCACUUGUAUCCUUCCAGCAGCCCCUGCCAAAUUGCCAAGUACUGCAUUGUUUUGUUCCAACGAUCGAUCCACUGGUUCUGUCCUCGGUCUGCUCUCGAGUGCCCCUUCAGAAACUCCAUCUUCUUGUGCUCUCAUUCUGGUCAUGCUUACUACGUCGUUUCCUGCUAUUGCAUGUGAAGUAAUCCUCUCUUCCCCUACUCCGGGUUCUACAACCUGAACUUCUCUUGUACCCUUCCAAUUCCUCCUCCCAUAUUUUCAAUCUCAAUGUUUUGUUCUUGUGGACAAGUUGAAAUUCUAGAAUCAUUAACAUUGAUUGAACUUUCUGUGCUUUUAAGUCUUUUGUUGCCACGACACAUAGCUUUCCAGGCUGCUUCUUGAACUUCUUUAGCCACCCCACGACAAAUGGAAACACCAUGCCCUUCUUCUCUUGAUAAAUGCCAUUUGAUCCUUGAAAUGGAAGUUAGUGGCAUAUGUAUGUGGACAAAACUUACACUUCAUGCUACCAUCAGCCCUUUCUUCAACAUAAUUCCGAAAUGAAUCAUUUGAUCCACCCAUUUCAACCUAUAGAAAAAAAGGGGUGGGGUCAAAAUAUAGAAUAAAAAUCAGUCAAAAUAAAGAAUAAAAAUCCUAUCCGGAUGGAUGAAAAACUACUUCUUUAGUGUUGUUACCCUUAUUUUGCUAUUAAAAUUGAUAGUUAGUUUAUUGCACAAUCAUAGGAGGUAAAAAGACGACGAUAAUUUAAUUAGACUUCUUACUUGUUGAGUAUUUAAACCCCUAUUUUGACUUUGCAGGGAAGUGUCAAGGCCGGGAUUUGAGGCAUUUGGCAUAGCAGUUUGAUUUUGCAAUCCUCGGACUUGGAGGUUAUCCAUCUGUGACCUAUAUAUAUACAAAUGAAUUGAUCAUAUUAUAAAACCUUUCCAUAAUUGGUAGUCUCUCUUAAACAGUAAAAGUUAAUGGUGUUAAAACACAACAGAUAGAAGUCAGUCAGUACCCAGGCACGAAGUUCUCUUGCUGGACAUUGUCUAUGUUAGGAAUUACAGCAGCUGGAUCGACUUGUCCUUGAUUAGAAAAAUAUUGACUCCUGAAUCCAAAAUCAUUUGCAAACAAUAUGUUUAGCUUAUUGGGUUCAUGUUCAAGCUAUGAUGUUUCCUUCCUGGUUGAAAAACUAUUUUUUAUAUAUAUAUAGAAAAUACUAAACGUGAAAAAUUGGAUACCGGGGAGCAGGAAAAGAAGGUCCAGGUUGAAUGAAGCCACCAUGUUCUGAAGUGGUUGCGUUCGGUGUCAUAUAGGCAUGUCCCGGCUGAGGUUGAUGAAUAUUGGAGUACUGAUGCCUGAAUAAUAUUCAAAUAGUUAAACUUAGAACUGUUAUUCUAACUUGGUUGAUUUUCUAGUUCCAUUAUGUGCACAAGACAAAAACAAAAAAUAGAGAUAGAGAGCUCAGAAAGACUCGAAAGAUCCUCGUCAAUUCUGGUCAAGUUUAUUGUUUUCAUGAUUAAAUAAGUGUAUAUUCAAAGUUAAUACCAUUGAUUCAAUGGAGGUUGAGGUCCAGGUAGCAUCGCAGGCACUUGAUUCCUCAUUGGUAACUGAUAAUUAGUCCAUUGUUGGUCCCUAAAUUAGCAACAUUUGUUAGUAAUUUCUUUAUACAUAUACGCGUAAUUCUUUACUAUUACUCCACUAAGCAUUUGAUAUCAUUUUAGCUUACCUCAAAGGCAUUGACGGUCCAGGUAGCAUGGGAUUGGCACAUCGAGGAUCAGAUAAAUUAGGAUGAGGCAGAUACCUAUAUUCAAAUAUAAUGAAUUCAUUUAGUGUAAUAAAUUGGCAUCACUGAUAAGAAAAUUAGGCAGAUAAGUAGAACAACAACAAGAAGUUAAAUAAUUAUGAAUAUUAUGUACAAGAAGAAUUUAAAUAAUGAUUAUUCUCACUUAGUUGAUUUUCUAGUUUCAUUAUGUGAUGCAAAUCAGGAGACAGGGGAAACAGGGGACUCUUGAAAGCUGAUUAUUAACUGUAGUUAUUAUUUUUCAAGUUUAUUGUUUUCAUGAUUAAAAAAGUGUGUAUUCAAAGUUAAUACCAUUGAUUUAUUGGAGGUUGAGGUCCAGGUAACAUCGCAGGCACUUGAUUGCUCAUUGGUAACGGAUAAUUAGUCCAUUGUUGGUCCCUAAAUUAGCAACAUUUGUUAGUGAUUUCUUUAUACAUAUGCAUAAUUGUUAGCUAUUAAUCCACUAAGCAUUUGAUAUCAUUUUAGCUUACCUCAAAGGCAUUGAUGGUCCAGGUAGCAUGGGAUUGACACAUUGAGCAUCAAAUAAAUUAGGAUUAAGCUGAUACGGUGAUACCUAUAUUCAAACAUAAUGAAUUCACUGAUAAGUACAACAACAAGAGGAAGAAAAGAAGAAGUUAAAUAAUGAUUGAAAAACUUUUUUUUUUAACAGAAAAUACUAAAAAUGAAAAAUUGGAUACCGGGGAGCAGGAAAAAGAAGGUCCAGGUUGAUUGAAACCACCAUGUUCUGAAGUGGUUGCGUUCGGUGUCAAAUAGCCAUUUCCCGGCUGAGGUUGAUGAAUAAAGGAAUUAUGAUGCCUUGAUGGAGUUUGAGGCCAAUUUUAUAUAAAACUUAACGAUAAAAAAAUAUCAUAAAAAAAGUCUAAAUCUCCCAAUUGUUGUCUGUUUGUUUAACAAUAAACAUUUUGAAGAUGCUCGAGAUAAAUUGAUACACGAAAACAUAAAACUUUUUGAUCCAAUGGGUGAUACAAACACUUGCUAAUUCAAUGGACAUUGUAGCAAAUUGGAGUAGGCAUGAGCACUCACCAUGGUUUGACGAAAUGAAGGUGGAAACAGAGUUGUUUGUUGAAGACUAUCGUUGAUCACAUUGUUAUCCACCACCAUGUUCUGUCCAUCUUGAUCAUUGCAUAAUAUGGAGCUUUGGUUGCCUGAAACCUCCGGUGGCGACCUGCUUAAUUUGUUAUUAGGAACAUUAUUCUUUUUGGGGAAUAAUAAGAAAAACUGUAGAAUAACUAAAUUGCAAGUAAUCAUCUUCUGAUAAAAUAUGCUUAAGAAUGACGUACGAGAGAAACUCAGAAAUAUUGAAUGAAUCUUCUGGUGAUUGAAAAUCGAACUGAUUCGAUGUCAAGUUGACAUCAUCCUCAUUACAAGACGGUGGGACUCCUUCCAUCUGAGGUUUAAAAAAGAACAGAAAGCACAGAUUAGAUAAGAAUAUAUAUAUAUAGAUUAGAUAAGAAUAUAUAUAUAUAUAUAUAUAGACACACACACAUGACUUAUUUAUUUGUUAAAGAAAUUCGGAUGAAAAAUAGGAAAUAUAAAUGUUGCUGUUAAUUAUUUAAUUCUUUGUUUUAAUGCUAAAUUAUUUGUCACUUGUUGUGAACAAGUUUAAUGAAAGGUAAUUAAUACUGAUCAAGUUAAUUCAUGAAUCAGUAAAAAACAACUUCAUUGAAUCAUUAUGUCAGAAAAAUAUUGGAUAAAAAUAAUUAAUGGCAGUCCCACAGGGCAUGGAUUACAAAAUCCCAUAUAUAAGGAGUUAAAAACAGCAAAGAAUCUUCAAAAGACAAAAACACUGAAUUCAAGGUUUAGGGUUAAUUUAAUCAGUAUGAACACCACAGGGCAUGGAUUACAAAAUCUGAGAAAAAGAUCGAUUUAUUUAUCAUGGAUUACUUUAAAGAUUCAGACAAGAUGAAGUACAAAUAAUUUACCUGGAUUCAAGAUAUUCUUCAAGUGCUCGCUUGUUUGCUUAAGCAGUGAUCAGCCAAAAGAAAAGGAAGAGAAAUCACAGAUCAGAGAAGAAUAAAUGGCUUGGAAAAAUAAUAAAGUUGCAGCAUACAUAAAUCUAGUUCGCACUGAUCAUGAGAUGGGGAAAGGAAAAUAGGGAAUUCUACAAUGAGAUGAGAUGUGACGUGGAAGAGAAUGUUACAGCAGCAAGGUCGCCUCAAUAAUAAUAAUUAAUUAACGUAUUGUUUGAUAGGAAGGAAAUUGCCAGGAAGCAACCCAAACAUAUUACAUUAUCAGUUAUAGAAAAAUAACGUGUGGACCCGCCCCAUGUUCACACUUCGAAGAAGCUGCCAAGAAAAUGUAAACACAUGAAAAUGAGAAUGAAUAGCAUAUUUGUGCAUUGAGUGAAGUUUUUUUUUUAAUUAUUUUUUAUUUAAAAAUAUAUUUAAAUUUUUUAUAAAAAUUUUUUAUAUUGCCACAUAAAAACAAUUCAAAAAUAUUAAUUACAAACAGUCACUUGAUAUAAUUUUACAGACUUUUAAUUAGCCUCACUCAUUUGAGCCAUGUCAUGGAUUAAUGGUUCACAGCAACUCUUCAUUCUGUGAUCUUUCCUGCCCUACCUAGAACAACCACCGCCCCGACAUAAAUAAUAAUAAUUUCACAGUUGAAUCAUGUUUUUUUUAAAAACUUAAUAUUUUUUUAUUUUAAAUUAAUUUUUUAAAUAUUUUUAGAUUGUUUUAACAUUUUAAUGUUAAAAAUAAAUUUUAAAAAAUAAUAAAAAUAUUAUUUUAUUAUAUUUUUUAAUAAAAAAAUAAUUUAAAAAACAAUUAUUAUCUCAAUAUCAAACAUUAUCUUAUUAUAUGAUACUAUACUUGAACUUUUCCACACCAAUGGAAAUUUGUUUUUCCCAACACCCUUCUACACAUUUAUAUUUUUAGCCCUCAGACCUAUAAAGUAUGAUUUGCUAGCCAAUCUGCACACUAGUUUCCCAUUAAUACAAAGAUGAUCGUGUUUUUUUGGUGCCAAAAUUGUCGGCCAAUAAUUUUCCAUUUUUAUCCGAGUUUUUAAUGAUUUUUUUUUAUCUCAAAUUUAUAAAUUAAAAAAUUAAUAAAAUAAAAUUUUAAAUCAAAAUUAAAAAUCAAAAUUAAAAUGCAAAAUGCAAAAACUUAGGGAACAGAAUUUUGAAAAACACGCCAGGCUACUUUUUGAUUUCAGUAUCAUAUUUGGUGUUCACAGUUUCAAUUAUUUAUAAUGAAUUAAAUUGAAUACAAUUUUAUCACAUCAAAUGCCAACUUAAAUUAAUCUUCCUUUUUUUUUUACCUUGAGAACUUUAUAAUUAAUUAAAAUAAAUUAUCAACCUCAAAUUUCCAUGAAUAUAAAAUUAAAAAUAAAAUAAUCAGCUCAAAUAAUAAUUAAUUAACGUAUUGCCUGAUAGCAAGGAAGUUGUCAGGAAGCAACCUACCGCUCACCUACCAAACAUGAGAGUGUUUGGAGAUUAUUUUGGUUUUUUUUUUUUAUGGUCAUAUAAAAAAUAUUUCUUUUAAAUUUUAAAAAAUAUAAUGUAUAUUUUAAAAAAUUAUUUUUUUAAUAAAAAAAUUAUCACAUCUCCAUACCAAACACACAUAUUAUAUUAUAAGAUAUAAAAGUUAACAUGUGGACCCCACCAAUGUUGAAACUUCGAAGAAGCUGCCAAGAAAAUGUAAACACAUGAAAUUUUCAAAAAAGAAUAGUAUAUUUAUGCAUGCUGUAAAUGUUUUUUAAAAAUAUUUUUUAUUUAGAAAUAUAUUAAAAUAAUAUUUUUAAAUUUUUUACUUUUUAUAUCAUAAUAUCAAAAUAAUUAAAAAAUAUUAAAAAUAUAUUUUUAAAAAAUACAUUAGGAUUGUAAAGAUAAACCAGUUCUAACAUUUAAAUUGUUUUAAAAGUAUUUUUAAAAUGUAAAAAUAAACAGUAUUUAAGGUGUAUUUGGUAGUUUUUAUCCUUCUGCCUUUGAGUGUGUCUAUCAGAGCAGAGUGAUUUUACUUAACCAUGAAAUUUUUGUGAGAUAAAUUAUAAUGAAUUUUUUUCUAUUUUACUAAUAUACCCAAGGUGUUUAUAACUAGAUGCUACUUGCUGAGGUGGAUAUUAGCAACAGAGGAAAGCAUACAAAAGUAACAAAAAAAAAAAUGGAUAGCAAAGACGAAAGCAUAUGAAGCUAACAAAAUCAACCCCACCAUUUCUCAAAUAUUCAGAUUUUAAAAAACACAUGGAAAUAAUAAUUUAAGAAGAAACAUGUUUUCAAGCUGUGUCAAAUGCAGAAUGCUUUAAUUAAUACGAGGAAAAUCUUGUUGAUAAUAUAGUUCGGUAUAGCGCACUGCCAGUUUAAAAUUACAAUCAUUAUUGAUUUUUAAAGUAUUUUUUAUUUAAAAAUAUAUAAUAAUUUCAGAAUCAUGUUUUUUUAAAAACUUAAUACUUUUUAUUUUAAAUUAAUUUUUUAAAUAUUUUUAGAUUAUUUUGACAUUUUAAUGUUAAAAAUAAAUUUUAAAAAAUAAAAAAUUAUUAUUUUAAUAUAUUUUAAAUAAAAAAAAUAAUUAAAAAAAAAUAUUAUCACACCAUCAAACCUUAUCUUAUUCUAUGAUAGUAUACCUGAACUUUUCCACACAAAUGGAAUUUUUUUUUUUCCAACACUCUUCUACAGAUUUUAUAUUCCUAGCCCUCGACCUAUAAAGUAUGAUUUGCUUCCAAUCUGCACACUAGUUUUCCAUUAAUACAAAGAUGAUCGUGUUUUUUUGUUGCUAAAAUUGCCGGCCAAUAAUUUAAGAGGUGCGUUUAUUUAAGAGGUACAUCAGUCAAUGAGUUUGGAGUACAAAUUUAUAUUUUCCAUUUCUAUAAAGUAUGAUUUGCUAUCCAAUCUGCACACCAGUUUUUCAUUAACACAAAGAUGAUAGUGUUUUUUUUUUUUUUCUGCCAAAAAUUAUCAACCAAUAAUUUUCCAUCAUUUUCCGAGUUUUUUCAGUGACUUUUUGUCAGUUAAAAAUAUAAAGAUUUUUGCGGUGAUUUUAGCCCAACUUUGGGGUAUCGAGUCUCCACUGAGAAAUUAAAAGAAUAGAAAAAAAUAUUACAUGGAGACAAAUUAAGAGAAUAGAAGAAAAUAUUAAAUGAUUUAAUAGAGAAAAAAAUUUAAUUUUAAAUGCAAAUUAAAAUAAAGCAAGGUGACUAAUGGAGAAAGUAGUGGAAUUCUACAAAGAGUAGAACGUCGAAAAUCCUUGCACACAUUUGAUAUUUUAAUUAUUCUUAUUUCGUUUAAUAACUCAAUUGAAAAUUCAAUUCCCAGAAUAUCCGCUUUCGAAAAAUCAUUCAUCACUUUUAAAUACGCAAAUGAUUAUUAAGAAAAUUCAACGACAACAAUAUACUCAAGAGCAAUAUUACAGUAAAGAAAUCAAAUCAAUACAGAUAAAUAUAUGAUCCAAAUAUAAUAAAGAAUUAAUCCAUUUAAUUGAAAAAAAACAUGACUGAAUCCAUAAACUACGUCGCCGUGGUCCCACAUGUUUUUAAAUACAUGCAGGCUGGUUCAAAGUGAAUUUCACGACUUUGGGCCUUGACUUGUCUGUGAGAGCUUCAACUCUACAUUGAAAUGUUUUUUCUUAAACUGUGAGAGCCUCAUAAUAAGCUUAUUGAAAUAAAUUAUUAUAAUGAAAUUAAAAACAAAAAUGCUUAAAAAAAAACAGAGAGACGCCGUGUUUUCUCUGUUGCUACAAGGUAAAAGUCUGAGCAUAUUUAUUUUUUUAUUUUUAUUUUUAUUUUAAUAAUAUUACUGUUAUAUCUACCGCCUAGAAAUCAAGAACGCUAGUUUCAUUUAAAAGAUUCUAAAGUUCAUAUUUAGAUAAAUUAGCAGAAAGGACGAAAACACAACAAAUCAUACCCAGAGAAGAAAUGCAGCGUGCCCACUUGGAAUUACACAUCAUCCAAAUUCCAGGGCAAAUAAUUGGUUGGAAUUGUUUUUUGAGGAGUCAUCUCAAAUUUGAAAAUAAAAACAGAAAAUAGAUCCAGCAAAUGAUUCCAAAUAUCUUCUAAAAAGAACAAUGAAAUAUGUUUUUUAUUUACUGUAAGGAAAUAUAUUAAUGGAAAAAAUAAAAAAAAUCAAUUUAAAAAAUAUAUAAUAAGUCAAAAUCUAGACUUAAAAUCUAACUCGUAUCAGGUUCCUAGUUGAAUUGAAUAAUUGAAUAAAAAGGUGGGAAAGGGAGACAUCGAAAGGUGUCAAAUAGAAAAAAAAGAAGAAAAAAAGAUGGUGGCUGGUUCAAAGGACGAGCUUAAUCUCAUGAAUCAUUUUUUAACCUUUAUGGUAAGACUUGACACGUGUGCUCUAAACCCUCCUGUCCCUCUUCCAUUAGCGUAAACCUAUGCUUCUCUGGACUUAAUUUGAUCCCAAUAAACCAAUCCAUGGAGUUGGUGCUAAUGUAAUUGAUAUAACUUUUUAAAUUAUUUUUAUUUAAAAAAAUAUCAAACUAAUUUUAAUGUGUUGGUAUUAAAAAAAUUUAAAAAUAUUCUAAAAAUAUAUUUUUAUUUGAAAAAUAUUUUUUUAAAAAACCGUAUGUAGAAUUAUUAAACACCCUUAAGCCAGUGGACAAAGACACAAACGACAAAAUACAAAGGAAAAGGGAUAAAAGCAUAUAUUUGGAGAUGAUAAAAGGGCAUGAGAUCAAAGAGGAUAAGUUUUCCAGUGAUGGGAUUGGAUGGUGAUGAAGGAUUGUGUGGAUAAGAGCAUAGUAAUUAAUCCUUUACUAAAAAGUUCUUCAAUGACCUAAUUCUGUGGCCCAACAAAAUUAUCAUUAUCCAAUAAACUAUUUGAUUAAUUCAGUGUUGCUUAAUCCCAGUUUGCUAUUGCGUUUUAAAUGGGUAUUGGUUAAAAUCAGAACCCAUUUAUGUUUCUCCAUUAUUUCUUUUUUCAAUUCGACCACUCUAUGCAGCUCCUCAUUUUCAUUAGAAAUAUUCAGACCAAUACGUCUUUCAUUUCCACCAUGUUCUGCACAUCACACAUAAUGACAUCUUUGUUUAGCGAUGGAGCACAGAGUUGAUCAUAAUAAAUAUCUUCCAUGGUCAAGACACAAUGAAUCUCCAUCACAACCCAACAUCAUUAGCUUAUCUGCUAUCCCUUUCAAGAGAAGAAGAUUUCGAAUCAGUCCAUUCAUUCCCAUCUGUAGGCAUCUUUCUCAAACAUUAAGAAAAAAAAUGAAAAAUAAAUAAAAAAGGAAAUUUUUUUAUCUUAAGCUAUAUAUCCAACACUCACUUGAAAGAUAUUGAUAACCAUGCAAGCAGUUUACAUGUCAGUAUUUGACAAGGGGUGGGAGAUAUUGGAAACAAAUUAGAGUACACAAAUAGAAUGUACUUGGUGAAUUGCCCGCGCGGUGCCGGGGUCAACAUGAACUGAGAAAAACCUAAAAGCACUGAGAUCGAACUGAGCAACCAUGUGCAGUAAGCUAUUUGGCUGCCAGAACAAUUCAAAAAGGGCCUCCGAUUAAACAUCCCGAGGGCAAAUGUAAACACAUGAAAUUUUCAAAAAAGAAUAGUAUAUAUAUUUAUGCAUGCUGUAAAUUUUUUAAAAUAUAUUUUUUAUUUAGAAAUAUAUUAAAAUAAUAUUUUUAAAUUUUUUAUUUUUUAUAUCAUAAUAUCAAAAUAAUUAAAAAAUAUUUUUAAAAAACACGUUGUGAAUAAGUUCUAUCAUUUAAAUUUUUUUAAAAGUAUUUUUAAAAUAUAAACAUAAUUUAAAGUAUGUUUGGUAGUUCUUGUGCUUCUGCCUUUGAGUGUGUAUAUUAGAGCAGAGUGAUUUUACUUAACCACGAAAUUUUUGGGAGACAAAUUAUAGUGAAUAUUUUUCUAUUUUACCAAUAUACCCAUGGUGUUUAUAACAGAGUGAUGCUACAUGCUGAGGUGGAUAUUAGCAACAGAGUAAAGCGUACAAAAGUAACCAAAAAAAAAUAUUGUGUUUUUUAAAAUCUGAAUAUUUGAGAAUUGGUGGGGUUGAUUUUGUUAGCUUGAUAUGCUUUCCUCUUUCCUCUUUGCUUUUCAUUUUUUUUUGUUACUUUUGUAUAAAUUAGUGAAUUUUAUCUUAGUCCAUUAGAAAUUUGCCUUUCCAAUUUUUUUUAAAAACAAAGAAAAGUAAAAUUCAAGACUUAUGUCUGUUUGACAACACCAGUCUAAUGGACUCGUGUUGUUGAAAUAACUUAAUAUUCUAAUAAAGUUUGUUACUGAAUAUAUAUUCUCCAAAUCCUUACUAAAUUAUUAGAAAGUAACAUUAUAAUAUUUUUAGGUCUGCUUAAUUUAUUUGGUUUAAAAUAAUUUUUUAAUAUAGUAUCAGAUAUUUAAUAACUUAUGAGUUAUUUGUUAAGUUAAUUUAAAUUAAUUAUUUUUAUUAAAAUAAUAUUAUUUCAUUAUUUUUUAUUAAUCUAGUCAAAUAUGAACUAGAUUGGUUUUAUUAAAUUUAUCAAAUUUCAUCAAAUUAAUAUUUUAUUUGAUACAAUUACAAAUUCAAUUUUUUUAAGGUCAAUAUUUAGAAAUAAAUGAAUAAAUAAAUAAAAGCUACAUACCAAUAUUUAAUUUAAGUAACCUCAAAGACUACUAAUUUAGCUUUUGAUAUUAAAAGGGUGUAUGUCUUUAUUCUCUGUCUAGUUGAUGAGGCAAAUAUCAGGCUAAUAGCUUUUUAAGUGAGUUUAGAUAAUAACUAAUAAUAUAUCCCUAGUGAUUCCCCUAAUGAUUAUAAAAUAUUGCGUGGGAAAUGCAGGUGAAGAAUUAGAAACAAGGAAAAAUGUCGACACAAUGAAAAUUAAUUGUUAUAUAAUUGUACAUGGCAUACACUUUAAAGCUCUGAACUUCAGUAAAUGAUUUAAUAGAGAAUAAAAUUUAAUUUUAAAUGCAAAUUAAAAUAAAGCAGAGUGACUCAUGGAGAAAUUAAGCACAACUGGAAUUCUACAAACAGUAGAGCGUCGGGAAUCCUUGCACACCUUUGGUAAUUUAAUUAUUCUUAUUUCGUUUAAUAACUCAAAUAUAAUAAAGAAUGAAUCCAUUUAAUAGAGAAAACAUGACUGAAUCCAUAAACCACAUAAAUCCCUUUUUGUUAUCUGGUGCAAUUCCCACGCGUCUUCUUUAUUCCAAAUGCCCCUCUUUUCAAAUUAGGCAUCUUCAAUCUCCUUUUUCAUCACGUCUCCAUGAUCCCCGUUGUGUCACAAACAAAUUGCCUAAAGUUUAGGAUUUUUUUUUGGCAGCCACAUACAUGCUUUAGGAGUUCCUUUUUUGAAAUCCUCAUCAUAGAGUAAUUUGUAGCCCUUCAAGAUACCUUUCCAACGCGUCAAGAAUCACAGCAAUCCGAUAUGUGAGUGGAAAGUUAUGAUUAAAAUACUUUAGUUCAAAGUGAAAUUUCACGACUGCUGGCCUUGACUUGUCUGUUUAAUUUCUAUUAUUUUUAUUCACAUUUUAGCAUUUUAUUCCAAUGAUAGAACGCACUUUCAUAGACUCAUCAAAACCCCACGAACGUCAUCAAGCUUUAGCUUCAAACAACCAGAUCGGGAGAUUUAGUGCAGUGGAGAACUUCAACAUCUACUAUGAAGCUUGAUUUGCUAUCCAAUCCACACACAAGUUUUCCAUUGAUACAAAGAUACUGUAUUUUUUAUACAAAGAUACUGUAUUUUUAACCGUCUAGUAAAUAAUUUAAUGGUAAAAAUUUAAGAUCAAGAGAUUUACUAUCUACUGUGGUCUCAAGUUCGAGUCAUGUGAUUGUCAAUAUUAAUGGUUACUGGAAGCUUACUUGCUCAUUAAUUUUAAAAUUUGUAAAAAUUAGUUAAUGUGCGUGUAAGUUGAUCUAGAUACCCCCAAUUAAUAAAUAAAUAAAAAUGGUGUAUUUUUGUUGCCGGAAAAUUGUCCACCAAUAACUUUUUAUCUUUUUCCAAGUUUUCUAGGUGACUUUUUUCUUUCAUCUCAAAAUCAUGGAUCAAAAGUGAAUAAAAUAAAAUUUUGAAUCAACACUAAAAAUAAAAAAAUAAAAAAUGCAAAAAGUCUAGUGAUCAAGAUUUUUAAAAUCACGCCUAUGCUACUUUCUAGUUUUAAAUAUUCAAAACAAGGCUCAUUAUCAUAUAUUCAUAGAGACAUACCAAUGUAGCUUUUGAUGUUUACCGGUUUGGGUAUGUCCAUAUACUUUUAAAUAUUUUUUAAAAUUUAUAUUUGUUUAUAAAAAAUAUUAAAUUAAUAAUUUUUUAGUUGUUUUUAAUGAUUUUGAUGUAUUGAUAUUAAAAAUAAAAUCUAAAAAAAUUAUUUUUAAAAAAUAUUCUAUAUAACAGUAUCAAACACAUGAUAACCUGGUCCAAAAGCUUUCGACCGAGCAUAAAAUGGUUUUCAACCCAAUCAUACUUUUUCCUCAUUAUAAAUAUAAAAUAAAGUUCAACUAUUCAAGUUAAGUAGGGUCCAAUCAAGGUUGUUAAAAUCACGAUUUUAACAUGAAACAGAAAGUCUUUCACAAAUUCGGAUCGUAAAAUCAUAAAAAAAUCGUAAGGAAUUUUAAAAUAUAUUAAAAAAAAUUCAUAUUUCAAAAUAAUAAUAAAAUAUUAAUUAAAUUUUAAAAAAAAUAAAAAGAACAGGAGAAUUGCAAUGCCAAAAGAUGUCGUCGAAAGGGAUUGGAGAACAUUUUAUUGUUAUUUUUUUAGGUUUUAAAUGAUAACAAUCAGUAUUAUGGAAAUUCCAUCCUGUCACAGUAAUUGAUAACAAGCAGCACUAUUUUGUGGCCCACACUUUUGCCAUUUGUCCAGGAGACUUCAAGCCUUCAAGGCCGAAGCAGAGAAGCGAAGACUGUGCCAUUUGUCCAGGAGACUUCAAGCCUUCAAGGCCGAAGCAGAGAAGCGAAGACCGAAGAUGAAGAAUUGAAGACCAAAGACAGGUGGACAUGGGGCGGGGGACUUUCAGUGCAGGUUUUAGAAAUUAUAUUGAAAUCGUAAAAUCGGUCCUGAUAUCGCGAUUUUGCAUGAUAUCAUCUAAUUUUUGCGAUUUUACCUGAUUUCAACCCGAUUUUACUCAUUUUCAAUUUUUUCAACCGAUUCAACCCGUAAUGCAUGUUUUGACUCGUAAAAUCAUACGAUUUUACAAGUCAAAACGCGAUUUUGACAACCUUAAGUCCAAUCUUAAAUGGUUCAAACAUUAUUGUUAGAACGUGACAGUGUCCCAGCAUUAGUAGUGUAGCACGUGCCAUGUCUUAAGCUUAUGUGAUCCGAAAACAAGGCAAUUGAUAAAAAACUGAUGUAUAUUACUCUUUCACACAGGAUGCUUAGAAUAAUACAAUGAAUUGAUCAAAUGAGACUAAGGCUUAAAUAGCCAGAACAAGAAACAACAGAAACAGCUAAAAAUAAGUUCACGUCUUCAACACCCUGAAGAUGUGGAUCCUUGCUUAAAAAUAGGUAAAACUAAAACAGAAUAUCAAAUGCUAACAACACUGUCCUAAUAGCUAGGACACUUAUUAAAAUUAUUAAGACUAAGUCUAACAAUUGCUCCCCUAAACUGAACAUGCUUGAAGCAGUUUAGUUUAUUUCUUCAGCUGAAUUCACCCCAAGUGCAGCUCUGAAUUUCUCGAACAGUUCCAGCCUUAGAGGCUUGGUCAUAAUAUCAGCCAGCUGCUCAUUUGUACCACAAUGCUCUAUGUCAAUUACUUCAUCCUUUGUAAGAUUCCUCAGAAAAUGGAAUCUUACGUCAAUAUGCUUACUCCUACCAUGAAGAACUGGAUUCUUGGCAAGUUUUAUUGUAGAAGAAUUAUCACACAGAACUUUGACACACUUCCUUUCAGUACCUCCAAUUUGUUUAAGUAUCUGUUGCAACCAAAUACAUUGACAUGCACAAGACGCAGCUGCCACAAACUCUGCUUCUGUAGUUGAGAGUGUCACCACCGGCUGUUUCUUUGAUGACCAAGCCACUGCUCCUCCACUUAGCAUGAAAACAUAUCUAGAAGUGCUUUUUCGAUCAUCCAAGUCCCCUGCAUAGUCACUAUCUGUAUAAGCUAGCAUCUCAUCUUACAUCCCUUUCUGUAGAAUACACCAAGAUCAGUAGUGGCUCUAAUAUAUCUGAGAAUUCUUUUGGCUGCCAUCAUGUGAGAUUCCAUAGGAUUGGCCAUGAAACGGCUUAUCAGACACACACUAUAAGCCAAGUCAGGCCUUAUGACUGUUAUAUACAUUAAACUCCCCACUAUUUGUUUGAACAAGGUUGCAUCUGCCUUCUUGCCAUCUUCUUGUUUUGUCAGUCUAUUGCUUCCUGGAACCAUGGGAUUCUUAACACCAUUACAAUUUUCCAGCCCAAAUCUUUUCAAGAUUUCUUCUGCAUACUUUUUCUGACCAAUAUGAAUGCCUUUGGAACUUUGCCGAAUUUCAACUCCCAGAAAAUACUUCAUUUCACCGAGAUCAGUCAUUUCGAAUUCCUUUUUCAUUGACUCUUUGAACUUGCUCACCAUAAUUGAAUCAUUGCUAGUAAAAAUGAGAUCAUCGACAUAUAAACUUACAAUUAGAAUUCUGUUCUUCUCUUCCUUCUUUAUGAACAAUGUGUGUUCAUAGCUACUUCUCUCAAAUCCCUCCUUAGCAAAAUAACCUUCAAUUCUGUUAAACCAUGCUCUUGGUGCCUGUUUUAAGCCAUAAAGUGCUUUCUUCAAUUUAUAAACUUUCUUCUCUUCCCCGUUAAUCUCAUAGCCUGGAGGUUGUGCAAUGUAUACAUCUUCAUUCAACUCGCCAUAAAGAAAAGCACUUUUGACAUCAAGUUGAAAAAGUGUCCAUCCAUUCCUUGCUGCCAAAGCUAUCACUGUGCGAAUUGUGUCCCACCUAGCAACUGGGGCAAAAACUUCAUUGUAGUCUACCCCCUUCUCUUGUGCAUAUCCUUUUGCCACAAGCCGAGCCUUGCAUUUGUCCACCUCUCCAUUUUCAUUUAACUUGGUUUUAUAAACCCACUUUACUCCAAUUAUUUUUGCUUGCUUUGGUGCAUCAACAAGCUCCCAGGUCUCAUUCUUUAAGAUUGCACCAAUCUCCAUAUCCAUUGCAUCCCUCCAUUGUUUCAUUUUUGCAGCUUCUUCAUAAUAAAUAGGAUCAGCAGAAACCAUAAACAAUGAAAAACUUUGUACCUCUUCUUCUGCUUCAAAGUUUCCCCUCUUAUGUAGUCUUGAAGAUAGGCUGGAGCUCGAGUGACUCUUCUCUCGGGCAGAGCAGGUGCUGCAGCAUUACUGGGGAUGCUACCGUGAGAUAUUGCAGCAUCAUUGGAUUGACUGGAUUCUCCUUCUUCUAGUGAUUCUUCAGUUUCAUUUUCUUCAUCACUGGAGGCAUAUAUGUCUGCAUCAACUUCUCCCCAAUCAAGCAUAUCAUUCUUGUCUUCUUCUGUUCUUCUCCAAUCCCAGCUUUGCUCUUCUUCGAACACAACAUCUUUACUAACUAUCACUUUUUUUGUUAUGGGAUCAACCAUCUUGUAUCCUUUGGACUCUUCACUAUACCCCAGCAUCACACACUUUUGACUCCUGGCAUCCAAUUUCAGCUUCUGUGGAUUUGAUACAUGCACAUUUCCUAUGCAUCCGAACACUCGGAAAUAAUCAACAUUAGGCUUGACUCCACUCCAGCAUUCUUCUGGUGUUUUAUUCUUUACAGCAGAGGUUGGGCUUCGGUUGAGGAUAUGGCAUGUCCAUUUCACAGCAUCUGGCCAAAAACGAGCAGGCAUCUGUUUCUCUUCUAGCAGACAUCGUACCAUGUUUAGAAUGGUACGAUUUUUGCGCUCCGCAACUCCGUUUUGUUGAGGAGUGUAAGUUGUUGUCAACUGUCUUUUAAUGCCUUCAAUUCUGCAAAAUUCUGUGAAUUCUUUGGAGGUGAACUCCCCUCCUCUAUCUGUUCUUAACCCAGCAAUAGAUAGACCAGAUUCUUUUUCCACAGCAUUUUUAAAACUUUUGAAUGUCAUGAAAGUUUCACUUUUCUCAUGCAGGAAAUACACCCAAAGUUUUCUACUCAUGUCAUCAAUGAAGGUCAACACAUACCUUUUGUUGCCAUGUGAUUCCGGAGUGAUAGGUCCGCAAAGGUCUGAGUGUAUGAGCUGCAGCUGCUGUGUUGCUCUCCAAUUGCUUUUCUUUGGAAUAAUUUCUCGGUGCUGUUUUCCUUUCAUGCAGCUUGUACACACAGAGGUUGGCACUUGAAACUUUGGAAGUCCUUGGACAAGUUCCUUUUGUUGCAGUAAAUUCAGACUUGUGAAGCUUAGGUGGCCAUAUCUUUUAUGCCAUAAAUCACCGAGAUGAUUGCUGCUCACAUUUAAACAAGUAGAUGAUGCAUGCAGCACAAUAUUUGCCAAUACUACGAACAUCCUAUUUGAUGUCAUCUGUGUAUGCAUAAUUAAACCCCUUCUAGGAUGAUAAACUCUACACUCUCCAUUUUGCAUCAAAAUAGCCAAAUUUUUCUCUUGCAACUGGCCAAUGCUCAACAGAUUAUUUUUUAAUUCAGGAACAUAGUAAACUUCUGAUAUUACUUGAGUUAUACCUUCUAUUUCAAGUCUGAUGUUGCCCUUCCCUUCCACUGGCAUUCUGAGGUUGUUUCCAAGUUUCACCGAGUGACUGAAUUCUUCAUCUAGUUCCACAAACCAUUGUUUGUUUCCUGUCAUAUGGUUAGAGCAACCAGAAUCAAGAAACCAUACGACCUCUCUCUUCGAAUUGUGAAGUUCAACGUAAGACAUCAAAAGGAGUUCUUCUUCUUCAUCCAACUCAGCGUAAUUAGCCCUUUUUUCCCAAUCAGGACACUCAUAUUGAAAGUGUCCCAAUUUAUGGCAUUUGAAACAUUCAACCAGAGCCUUGUUGGAUGUUUGUCUGCCUCGUCCUCUACCUCGUCCUCCUCUAUACAUGCUUCUGCCUCUUCCUCUGGUUGAUCUCUCAUCAUAUGCGACUUUCAACACCUGUUCCUCUAUUUGUUGUCCUUGCAUCCUUUGUUCAUGGACAAGCAGGCUUCCAUGUAAUUCAUCAAUACUCAGGACACUUAGAUCAUUUGACUCCUCUAUUGAACAAACAACAUAGUUAAAUUUUGGAGUCAAUGAUCUAAGUAUCUUACCCACCACUGUGCUUUGUUCCAUCGCCUCACCAUUUGUUUUCAUUUUGUUAACCAAGGCUAGAGUUCGACCCAAGAAGCUGUCAAUUUUCUCUCCUUCUUUCAUGGCUAGUAACUCGAAUUCCUUCCUCAAAGCUUGAAGUUGUGCUCUUCUAACCUUUGUGGACCCUUGAUAUUUCUGCUUCAUUGAGUCCCAAAUAGCUUUUGAUGUUCUCUUGUCGAGAAUUGUCUCCAAAAAUCUCCCUUGUCAAUUGCUUGAAACAAGAAAUUUUUAACUUUCAAGUCUUUGAGUUUGAUCUCCUCUACACUCUUCCUCUGUGCCUCACUUGCUGCUGCAUUUCCAACAGCCAGUGUUGGAAUCCCUUCGUCCACAAGAUUCCACAUCUCCUUGCUCCUAAGGAAAUUCUCCAUUGUCAUUGCCCAGAAAUCGUAAUGGCCAUCAAAUCUCGGAAUGGAAGGCUGCACGAAUUUGUCUGCGGUUGACAUCUCGAUUUUCUCCUCCUUUUUUUUUUUUUUUCUCACACACUCUGUGUUGAUUUUCACUCUCACCCUUUUGUUUUGUCUCACACACUGUGUUUGAUUUUCACUCUCACACACUUUCACUCACACUCGUGUUUGCUCUUACUGUCACACACUCUAUACUUGCUCACACCCCCACACAAUCAGGUCCCCUUUUAGGCUCUGAUACCAAAUGAUAAAAAACUGAUGUAUAUUACUCUUUCACACAGGAUGCUUAGAAUAAUACAAUGAAUUGAUCAAAUGAGACUAAGGCUUAAAUAGCCAGAACAAGAAACAACAGAAACAGCUAAAAAUAAGUUCACGUCUUCAACACCCUGAAGAUGUGGAUCCUUGCUUAAGAAUAGGUAAAACUAAAACAGAAUAUCAAAUGCUAACAACACUGUCCUAAUAGCUAGGACACUUAUUAAAAUUAUUAAGACUAAGUCUAACAGCAAUUGGUGUUUGAUGGAAUUAGCUGUCACUAAAAAUAAAAUAAAUAAAAUCCUCUGUGAACUAAUUAAUUCCUAAAUUAUUUUUUUUAUUGUUUUUCACAAAAUUUAUAAAAAUAAAAAUAUUUUAUUAGAUAUUUUAGAUACUCCACUAUUAUAAUAUUUUAUUUAAGUUUAGAUUUUUAUUUCAAAAUUGAAUUUUAUUUAAGUUUAGAUUUUUAUUUCAAAAUUGAAUUUUAUUUAAUAUAACAAAUAUUACGAUGUUUUAUUUUAUCUGAAAUUUUUUGAAAUGUUAUUUGAUUUUAUUAAUUUAACUCUUGAUUGUCUCAGGUCCUCCAAGGCAUUCCUCCACUCCUUGGUUAACUAUCUCAUGGAGGUUAACUCCCUCCACCUCUCUUACGGAUAAAGUAAAGAAGCCAUUUACACUUCAUAAGAAACCGUAAUAUAACAAACAGAGGAUCUGUAAGUUUCAGAGAACGACAUCAAUUUAAUUAUGCGAAGUUCAAUCUUUUUUCCUCUACAAAUUAAAUCAUGUACGUAAACCUGUUACCUACAUUUUGUAAUAUUUCUGGAUCUGCUCUUUGAUUCAUCAAGGACAGAGUUGAUUGCAGCUUCGUCAUAGAAAAGUUCGUCUUCUUCAUCUUCUUGGUUGGCGAGGAAAUAUAAGUGGACUCUUCUCCAGUUUAAGGAUUCCAACCUAGCACAUGAAUGAUAAAGGACAGAGUCAUCAUUUAAAUAAUAAAGGGACGAAGGACAUCCUUAGCAUUAGGAUGCUCCCAUUCCACCACUGACUCUCACCAUUCUUUUGGAUGUACUCCAUCACUCUAAGAGAAGGGGGAUGAGAUAGCUGGCCAUUUUCAAGCAACGGAAGAUGAAUUGCCAGCCUUUUCAGCAUCUGACAAUUUGAUAUCCCAAUUUGUUGGAGAGAAUCGCAGAUCAAACUCUUUAAAAAUAGAAAUAUACCAUGAUAAGAUGGAGAUGAUGGUGGAGCGGAGCGGAGCAGAGCCAAGAAGACGAAACCAAGCUCUCCAUGUUAUAGCGCUUCCAAAUGUUGGUACUGGCAUUUUAUUGAAAUGAAACUUAGAAUCAACUGUUUUGAAAGCCAUUUGAUAGCUAAGAACUCAGAAUCCAUGAGAUUAAGUAUUUGGCAAAGCCUUCCCCGUGAUUGGAGCAAUCUCACUAAUUUAUCGACGGAAUGGCUAGAAUUGUCUUCCUCUUAACUAAUCUUUAGCAAACCAAGCUUCAAACAAUAAGAGGGAGCUUCAGUUCAGUAGGAAACUUCAACAUCUAUUAUAAAAAUCGUGUUUGGUUACGCUGUGUAAAUUAUGUAUUUAUAAAUUUUAAUUUUUUUUUAUUAAAAAUUAUUAUUAUUAUAUUUUCAGAUUAUUUUGACGUGUUAUAUCAAUAAAAAAUUAAAAAAUAUUAUUUUGAUGUAUUUCUAAAUAAAAAAUACUUUGAACAAUAAUCACUACCACAAUCUCAAACAAACUCUUGUGAUUUGCUAUCCAUUAAUACAAAGAUCGUGUUUUUUUGUUGUUGAAAAAUUAUCAACCAGCAACUUUUUAUCUUUUUCCAAGCUUUUUGGUGAUUUUUAGGUAGCAGCGUGAAGCCUCGCCAAAAGCCCAAGAUUAAAAAUAACCAUGCUCCUAGCCCAAGCCCACCAACAUCACCCCCAGCAGAUUGGAAAAAUGCUCAUAAGUCAUAACCAUUCCGGAAAAAACACACCUAGGCUAGUAUGGUAUACUAGAAAGUGGAAAUAAAUCGAUAUUAAUCAUCAAAUAAAUCGUUAGCAGAAACCAAAAAUAAAUAAAUAAAUUGUUCAUGCUACUCCAUCUUAUUGAUGGGAAUGACUUUUGACCAACAUACAUACGACUUUGCUAAAAUUAUCUGACAAAUUAUUAGGCUUAUAAAAACACUUAAUAAAAUCAGAAAAAAAAAAUCAUUUUUAUUCAAUAAAAUAAAAAAGAAAACUCAGGUAAUAAAUAUUCAAUUCACUUUCCAGCCGCCAAUAAAAAAUAAAAGUAUUUUUAUUCAAUAAUACUUCUUGGUAACAAAUAAGCUGCCAAGAAUUAUAUGAGAAUCAAAUCUCUCCGAUCACAUGGUCGUUUAAAAUGCUCAACACUCAGAAAACAAAUUUACAGAAUAAUAAGUCUAGUAAACUUCUUGAUAUAUAUAUAUAUUAUUCAACCAAAUAAUUGCUUGUGACAUAUACAUGGAGAGCUUCCUAGUAUUAAAAAUUUAAGAUUAUCAAAUAAUUAAACUUUUUAUUCAAACCAAUAAAUUUUAUGUGUCCAUGCUACUCCAUCUUAUUGAUGGGAGUGACUUUUGACCAGCAUACAUACGACUCUGCUAAAAUUAUCUGACAAAUUAUCAGGCUUAUAAAAAAACUUAAUAAAAUCAGAAAAAAAAAUCAUUUUUAUUCAAUAAAAUGGAAAAGAAAACUCAGGUAAUAAAUGUUCAAUUCACUUUCCAGCCGACAAUAAAAAAUGAAAGUAUUUUUAUUCAAUAAUACUUCUUGGCUCAUAAAUAAACUGCCAAUAAUUAUAUGAGAAUCAAAUCUCUUCGAUCACAUAGUCGUUUAAAAUACUCAACACUCAAAAAGUAAAUUUACAGAAUAAUAAAUCUAGUAAACUUUUUGAUUUAUAUAUAUAUUAUUCAACCAAAUAAUUGCUUGUGACAUAUAUGUGGCGAGCUUUCUAGUAUUAAAAGUUUAAGAUUAUCAAAUAAGUAAAAUUUUUAUCUAAACCAAUAAAUUUUAUGUGUCUAUUUUAAAAUUUGGUUUUAGAAAGAAAAUCAAAAUGAAAUAUCAAACAUUACCUAUAAAUCUUUAUAUUACAGAUUAACUAUAUCACCCAUUUAUCAUUCUUAAGGUCAAUAUUUAGGAAUAAAUAAAUAAAAGCUACGUAUCAAUAUUUAAUUUAAAUAACCUCAAAGAUUACUAAUUUAGCUUUUGAUAUUAAAAGGGCGUAUGUCGUUACUCUCUGCCUAGUUGAUAAGGCAAAUAUCAGGUCUUCUAUCUCCACCACUCCCUGCUAACUCUUUGCCUCAUAUCUUACGUUAUAUCUAUUAAGUUUGCUUAAUUAAGAUGGAAUAUUUAUGACUUUUAUAUGUAUUAAAUCAAUUUAAUUGUUUUGACUUAUCAUGAUCAACAUGAAGUCAUCAUAUUAUAAAACCAAAAAUCAAUGGUGUAUCUAAUUAUCAAAAAGGUAUAAAUAUUGCUAUGAAGUUAACGUGUGGACCACCCCAAUUAUGAAGCUCGGAAGAUGCCUAGAAAAUGUAAACACGUGAAUAUUGAAAACAAUAACAUACUUUCCUUUUUAAAUUUUUUAUUUUAUUUUAAAUAAUAAUUUUUUAUUUUGAAAAAAAAUUUAAUAAAAAAAUUAAUAAUUUAAAAAGUAAAAAAAAAUCAAUUUUGUUGAAAAACGUGUGCUUUAACAAUGACAUAUUAAAUAUGUGAUUAAUUAAGAGCAUGUGAUUGCUUUUGUUUUUAGUUGUUUUUUCAAAAAAGAUAUAUAGAUAUUUUUAAUGUUUUUUUAUAAUUUUAAUGUAUUAAUAUUAAAAAUAAAAUAAAUAAAUAAAUAAAUCAUGUAGUCUAUUUCCAAAACAAUCUAAUAUUGGAGGUUGAAAUUAAAAAAAAAAAAAUUAAAAAAAUAUAUAUUCGAUCAGUGAAUAAAUCUAUCAAACCAGUGAAUCAGGUAACUUGAGCUAACACAUCAAACUAAUUAACAAGGUUAUGGACUCCAGUAGGAUUAUUUUUUUUUAAUUUUUUUAUUUAACAAUAUGAUAAUAAAAAUGGAUAAUUAUGAAACUAAAUUUUAAACCAACUCAAAUAUGAAAUAGAAAAAAAAAAUUAAAAAAAUUGAUAACCAAAAAAAGAAAAGGGAAAGAAAAAAGAAGAAGCAAAACAAUAUAGAUUAUUAUUGUAAUUCAUAAUGAAAUGGGUGUGAGUGAAUAUUGGUUCUCCCACACCUUUUAGCUUUUUUUUUAAUUAAUAAACAAAAAAAUACUUCAUUAAACCAAUAAACUAGUAUAAAUCACGUUAACUUUAUAAAAAGAUAGAAUAAAAAUAAAUAAAUUAUAAAGUUGAAUUUUAAACCACCCAAUAUGAAAUAAACAAAAACAAAUUUUAAAAAAUAAUAAUAAAAAAAAAAACACAUUAGAUUACUUAUAAUAAUUUAUAAUGAAAUAGGUGUGAAUACGUCUCUUAACUAUUCGUGAGCUUCUUAUUCAUUCUUAGUUUUUCUUGAAGUUAUUCUAUUGAGGAAAAAGAGAAGAAGAAACCCUACCUUUUUUUCCCUCUUCAUAAUGCAUGGAUUUAAGUUGGGUGGAGAUUCAGUAAUCAAAAUAUUUUUUUAUUUUUAAUAUUAAUAUAUAAAAAAUAUUAAAAAUAUUAAUUUAAUAUUUUUUGCAAAAUAAACAGAUUUUUAAAUACAAUCAAACAUAAUUCUGAGUACAAAAACAAAUUACGUUUUGAUUACGAGCAUAACAAUCUUGGCAGUAAGUACCAUGAUCCUUUCCAAUUAAGUUAAUUUUAGGAUUUUUUUUUGGCAACCACAUACAUGUUUUAGGAGUUCUUUUAAUUUAUUAAAUCAAUAUUAAAGUAAAAAAAUUAAAUCAAUAUAGAUAAAUAAAUGAACUAAAUGUAAUCAAACAAUUAAUCCAUUUAAUAGAAAAAACCUUACUGAAUCCAUAAACUACAUUAAUCCCUUUUCUUUUCUUGUUUUUUUUUUUUUCUCUGGUGGAAUUCCCACUAGUCUUCUUUAUGGGCAGCCCCACUUUUAAACCCUCUUUUUCAUCACGUCCCCAUGGUCCCCGUGUCCCACACGUUUUCAUCAAAAACCUAAAUUUUAGGACUUCUUUGGCAGCCAUCUAACAAUAUAUAAAAAUAAUAUUUUUAUUUUUAAAAAAUUAUUUUUAACAUCAAUAUAUUAAAAUAAUCUAAAAAUAUAAAAACAUUAUUUAAAAAAAUCAAAAUUUUUAAAAACACAAGCAUUCCCAAAGAAGGUAACGCGUCAAGAAUCAUAGCAAUCAGACAUGUGAGUGGAAAGUUGUGAUUAAAAAACAUUACUAUUUUUAGAGUGAUUUUGACAGCAUAGCAGGAAACGUCAUUAUUGUUAUUUUUAAAAAAAAAAUUUAUUUAUAAAUAUAUUAAAAUGAAAGUUGUCAAUUUCGUUUCGUUUUAUUUGUAAUGAUUUCAUACCAAUUCAAAAAAUAAAAUAAAACAAAAUAAUUUUCAUCUUAUUUCAAAUCUCAGUCCCUUCCAAAUGUUUCAGCUAAAUUCCAUUCAGAAUGUUCCGGUUUCAUUCUACAUGUUCUGUUCUGGUCUUAAAAAGCCAUUGUAUCAAAUUGAACCUGGUUCAAUUAAUUAAUUAAACCAUCAAAGUAUAAAAAGCUCUUUUUCAUUACUAUUUUCAUUAACUAUGAUAUUAAUUUUUUAAAAUUUGAUUUAUCACUAAUAUAUAUGAUUUAUUUUCAUGUACUUUGUAGGAGUUUAAGCAAAAAAAUAGAUGUUUUAGAUCUCAUUAGCCUUAAUAACAUUGACCUAGCUUUAUAUUUAAAAUAUUAGUGUUAAAAUAUUUUAAUUUCAUAAUAUUUUGAUAUUUUAUUAAAGUUGAAUUGUUUUAAGUUAAAAAUUAUUUAAUUUAAACUAUUUAAAAAUAUUUUAAAUUUUAAAAUUAUAUUUCAUCACGUCUCUAUGAUCCCCGUUGUGUCAAAAACAAAUUGCCUAAAUUUUAGGCUUUAGCAGUUCCUUUUUUAAAAUCCUCAUUAGUGAAAUUUCACGACUCAUUAUUUCUAUUAUUUUUAUUCCAUUUAAGCAUUUCAUACUCAUCAAAACCACUGGAACACAAUCAAGCUUUAGCUUCAAACAACCAGAGGGAGAUUUUAUAGGGAUAAAAUUUUAAAAAUCACGCUUAUGCUACUUUCUAGUUUUAGUAUUAAAUUUAGUAUUUAAAAAAUAUGUUUAUGAAUAUGGCAGUUUCAGGUUUAGAAACCAAAACUGCCAUAUUCAUUCUCUUAGACAUUUUAAAAAUGUGUGUAGAAGAAUACUUUCAAUGUUGAUUUAUAAUAUUAGGUUACUUUAAUGAUAAAUCAAUAUAGUAUUUUUUUUUUUUUUUGGAUUUUCAUCUUGGAGAAAUUCAAUAGGAUGAAAAUAUAAUAUUAAUCAAACUUCAAAUUAUAAUUGUUUAUCUAUCGAGUUAAAAAAAAUAUGACAAUUCAAUAGUCUUUAAAGAAAUAAAAAAAAUGAAAAAUGUUAUUUAUGUAAUUGUAAGCAUACUAUAUUAUAUUACUUUACAAAGGGACGAAGAACAUCCUUUGCAUUAGGAUGCUCCCACUCCACUACUGUCUCCCACCAUUCUUCUGGACGUGCUUGGAUAUUUUGAAGAGAAGGGGGAGGAGAUGGCUGGCCAUUUUCAAGCAAUGGAAGACAAAUUGGCAACCUCUUCAGCUCCUCACAAUAUAUUACAUUAAUAUCUUCAAGAGAAUUGCAAAUCAGUUUUGCACUACAAAUGCUUUUCAAUUUUGGUAAAUCAAACAAUUCCAGAAUUCUUAACUUUGGGAGAAUGACUUCCGUGAUGGAAUUGGAGGUGCUGCUUUCUUCAUCUGCUGUUCCUAUUAUCUCCUCCAUUUUCUCACAAUCAUGAACAAUCCUUUCCAGGUUUACGAGGUUUGGUAGCAACACAAGCGGGAACAGCUUCUUCAUACUUUCACAAUGAUAACAAAAAAACUCUUUAAGACCAGAAAACGUACCGUUACAUGAUGGCAAUCGUGGUGGAGCAGAGCAGAACCAAGAAGAUGAAACCAAGCUCUCCAUGUUAUAGCAUUCCCGAAUGCUGAUGCGCUCCAGUUCAGUUGCAUUCUCUAAUGACAAAACAUCACAUAAACUUCUUGCAUCGAUGCAUUCACAAAUCAGUCCUUGAAUGCCAUUUAAGAACUUGACCUGAAAAUCUCUAUCUCCGUUGAUACUCAAAUUACCCAACCCAACUGUUUUACUUGGAAAAUAUUCAAUGCAUUGCUCUAAAUAUCUACCCACCUCUCCUACUAAAAUCUUGCAUGUGCUUAAUGAUUGGAUCCCAUCCCGAGAUCUGAGAUACUCCACAAAGUCAGAAAAACCUUUGAAAUGGCACUUCAAAGUUUCCAAAUUUCUCAAGGAUCCUACUUCCUUUCCUUUAACUGAUAUCGGAGCACUCGUAAACUUUUGUAGUACAAAGACUUGCAGGUGAGAGAGUUUUGGUAAUAUCCCACUAGGAAACUCCUUUUCACCACAUCCAUUCAUUAUAAGAUACCUCAGGUUGUUUAGGCAUUCCAUUCCUUGCGGCAUCUUUUCAAGCGCAGUACAAGAGAGGGCCAACCUCUUCAGUUCCCUUAGCUUCUUUAAUGAUGGAACACGUCUUAAUUUCUUACAAUAAUUGAGCAAUAAUGCUGUAAGACUCACCAAAUCAGAGACAGAGUCUGGCAAGUUUUCAAUACCUGUGCAAGACAGAUCGAGGACCUUGAGCCUAUGCAAUUGCUUGAAAAAUGAAUCCGCAACAAAUCUCAACCCUUUAUUAUCACAUAGAAAUAGAGUUGAUAGAUAGGGACACCUUGGUGAAUAGCUGGAAGGAAUUUCUUCUAUCUCGUUUCUCAUUAGUGAAACCAUCGUCAGAUUCUCCGUCCACUCCUCUGCAUCUGGCAACUCUUUUAAUUGCGCACCUGCUUUAACCAUGACUUCAUAUUUGUCUUGCAGUAUUUUGAUGGCCAUGUCCCUAAUCAAGUCAUGCAUCUUGACACAUAUAGUAUCAUGGUACUCCAUUUUAGCAUUUUCCAAUAGGCAGACAUUUACAAGUCUAUUAAGCAUCGUGUGGCCCUCAUCAAAUGCAUCUCCCCUGCUCCUCUUUCCUUUAAUUAUUCCCUCAUCGAUCAAAUAACCUAUCAACUCCUGCCUUGCAAUCAUAUCAUCUUCAGCAAAUAAUGCACAGUACAAGAGACAUCGUUGUAGUGCAAAAUCACCUAACUGAUUAUAACUAAACCUCAAUAACCUGAAUACUUUCUUAUCUAUGUCCCUAAAUUCUGAUUCUCUCAAUUUGUUCAAUGUAUUUCUCCACUCAUGUGGGUCAUCCACUCCCCUCAAGCUUCCUGCCACUGCAAUAAUUCCCAAUGGCAAACCAGCACAUUCCCCAGCAAUAUCUUUGGCAAUUCCUUCCACUUCUGGUAAAAGUGCUAUGUCACGUCCAAGUUUUUCCAUGAACAAAGUCCAAGCUUCUCCCUCCGAAAGUAGCUUCACUUUGAUUUUGUGGUGGCAAGCCAUCCGAAGACAAACCGUUUCUGAUCUAGUUGUCAUAAUCAGCUUGCAUCCUUUCAACAGCACAGGAAUUCCCACUUCAUCAAGCUCAAAAUUGUGCCACAAAUCAUCUAAAAUGAGAAUCCAUUUUUGUUUCGUCCUUAAUUCUUCUGACAAUUUGACAGCUCUAUGCACAUCAUCAUCUUCGUUUGCAAGGUUUAGAUCAAGACAUUUAGCAAUAAGAUUCUGCAAUCUAUUAAUGCUGAAAUCUUGAGAUACAAUCACCCACCAAACAUGAUUACAAAUAUCUUUUCUUUGUAGAAGCUCAUUAUGGACAUGUUUUAGUAUUGUUGUUUUACCAACUCCUUCCCAUUCCAUAAAUGCCAAUGGUUGAGACUUCAUCAUCCAUUAACAAAGACCAUAUCACCUUCUUAUUCUCUUCAAAUGCUCGACCCACUGGCUUUAUAGAGCUAGUAGGUAAUGGAACUCCUCUAGUCUCACUUGUGUUGUAUUUAAGGCUUAUAGAAGAUCUAGCUCCAGCGUCAGGCCGCACUGAUCUUCCACUAUUCUCCAUAUCCUCCUCCACUGGUUCUGUCCUCACUCUAACCAUGUUCUGCACAUCAUACAUAACGACAUCAUUGUUUACUGAUGGAGCAAAUAGUUGGUCAUAAUAUCUUCCAUGAUCAAGACACAAUGGAUCUGUUGGUUGGGAUGAAUCUCCUCGAGGCUCAUCAGCUUGAUUAAUUGAUGGCCUCUCACAAGAGCUACCUCUCUCCAGAUGCUGCACUUGUUCUGUUCUCGCUACAGUUUCAAAUCCAUCAUGCAUUAAAUAUUGAUCCACUACAUCCUCAUCUUCCUGCAUUAAAUAGGUAGAGAUUUCAUUCAGCUGCUGCUCCUUUGAAAGGGCAGAGUGUAUCUGAACCCAAGUACCAUCAGCAAAUUGAUCCACUAAAUCUGUUCCUGGUGUUGCUUCUCCUCUAUUCUCAUGAGCAUCAACUCUGAGUCUCCAAGGAGAGAGACUUCUGUCAACAUGCUGAAACGAUCCUUCACCAGUGUAUUCCAUGCCACUUGCCGCUUCUAAACGCCAAUGAAUUCUCUCAGGCCCAACACCUUGUGCCAAAUUAAUAAGUACUGCAUUGUCUUGUUCUUGUGGACAGGUGGAAAUGUCAACAUUGCUUGAACUUGCUAUGCUUUUAUGUCUUUUGUUGCCAACAUGCAUAGCUAGAAAGGCUGCUUCUUGAACUUCUUGAGGCACCUGACCACAAAUGCCAACACCACGCCCUCUCUCUCCUGAUAAAUGCCAUUUGAUCCUCGAAAUGGAAGUACCAUUGGCAAAUAAAUGACCACAAAACUUACACUUCAUGCUUCCAUCAUUCAUAUCUUCAACUUCCUUCCAAAACGGAUCAUCUGAUCUAACCAUUUUGUCCUAUAGAUAAAAAGGGUCAAAAUAUUGAAUAAAAAUUAAUGGAAGUACAUUAAUUGGAAAAGGAAGGUUGAAACUAAAAUAAUAAGUUACAAACAGCAAAGAAACUAAGAAGAAAAAACAAUGAAUUCAAGGUUAACUUGGGGUCAAUUUAUUAUGAACUCCUUAAGGCAUGGAUUGUUACAACUGAGAAAGAUCAAAUUAUUUAUUUUUGGAAACUGUUGAUGAUCCUAACUCCAAAGUUUCUCAUUAGAAUUUCUACAACUUGUGUUUUCCUUGAAAGAUUCAAACCAGAGUUACAUGUGAAAAACAAAAUGAAGAAGAUGGAUUAUAAAUAAUUUACCUGGAUUCAAGUUGUCUUCAAGUGCUGGUUUGCUUAAGUAGUAUUCAGGAAAAAAACAAGAACAGAGAAGAAUAUAUGGUUAAAAAUAACAAGGAAGUUGCAAGAUGUUUAGCUCCGGAUGAUUCGAUUCAAUCGGAAAAGGAAGCACUGAUCAUCAGAAAGGUUUAAGAAAUUUGAUGAGGGAAAUUGGGAAAUCAAUGGUAUAAUGAGAUGAGAUUUGGAAGAGAAUGUUACAGUAGCAAAGAUUAUUGUAUUGUUUGAGAAGAAGGAAGUUGCUAGAAAGAAAGCCACAAACUUUAUCUAAUUUGCUUUUCUUUUGUCUAGCGCUGCAUAUAAUAAAAAUCUUCAACAUAAGAAUUAGAAGCUAAUUGCUGACUGAGUUAACGUGUGGCCCACCCCAUUGUUGAAACUUUGAAAAAGCUAUGCCUCUCACUUCAUUAUCUGAUCCACUCCAACUUCCAUUCCCUACAGAUUCAAUAUUUUUUUAAGGUCAGUAUUUAAAAAUAAAUGAACAAAUAAAUAAAAGCUACGCACCAAUAUUUAAUUUAAGUAACCUCAAAGACUACUAAUUUAUAUUUUUAUAUUUUGAUAUUAAAAGGGUCUCUAUCUCCACUCGCUGGCAACUCUUCUUUAAAACAAAAGGCGGAUGACAUGGAUAUGGCUUAGAAAUUAUAGAGAAUCUGUGAGUUCCAGUUUUGUAUAUAUCUUGGUGUGCUUCUCAUUAGUGAAAAAGGCUAAAUGCUGUUUAUUGCUUUUCUUUUGUCUAGCGCUGCAUAUAAUUAAAAACUUCAACAAAAGAAUCAGAAGCUAAUUGCUGGCUGAGUCAACGUGUCGACCCACCCCAUUGUUGAAACUUAGCUUCAAGAGCUGUAAGUACUAUGCUAUGAAUGAUGCCUCUCAUCAAUUUUAUCUAAAUGUUGUUUAUUGCAUUAGUGAAAAAGCUAAAUGCUGUUUAUUGCACGCUGCUAAUUGAGAAAUACAGAACUCAGUUCAACCCAGCAAGUUGCUGCAUCAGAGUUAAAACUCCAUAGCAGUCAGCACAAUCUAUGAAGAUAAAAUUGAAAACAAAACAAUCAAUGACUAAAAUUAAAAAAAUGCAUCUAAGGCUUAGAAAAAACUGAGAUAAAACACUAUUUUUCUCUCUUGAUACAUGGUAGAAGCCUGAGCAUAUUUAUUUAUUUUUAAUUUUAAUUUUAAUAAUAUUUGUGUUCUUUCUACCCCGAGAAAUCAAGAACGCUAAUUUCAUUAAACAAGAUUCUAAAGCCCGUAUUUAGAUAAAUUAGAAGAAAGGACUCCAACCCUAGCGCAAAAGACCUAUAAACUAGCCUAACAAAUCAUACCCAGAGAAGCAAUAUGUUUAUUGACAUAAAUAAUUCUAAAUUUAAUAAGUCUAUUUAAUAAAAAAAAAAAUUUGAGCUAGCUUGUUUCUGGCUUUUGCUUCUCUGGGUAUGAUUUGUUAGGCUAGUUUAUACUUUAUAGGUCUUUUGCGCUAGGGUACGUGGUUAAAAUCAAGGUUGUCAAUUUCGUUCCGUUUUGUUCUACUCGGAAAGGCCGAAACAUUCCAUACCAAUUCAAAAAACAGAACAAAACGGAACAAAUUUCACAUCAUUUUAAAUCUCGAUCCAUUCCGGAUUUUUUGGCUAAAUUCCACCCGAAACGUUCCGGUUUCAUUCCACAUGUUCCGUUCCGCUCUUGAAAAGUCAUUGAAUGAAAUUGAACCUUACUCAAUUUUAUUAAUUAAACCACCCAAUUAUAAAAAGCUCUUUUUCAUUAUUAUUUUCAAUAGCAAUGAUAUUAAUAAUAAUAUUGAAAUUUAUUAUUACUAUUUUCAUUAACAAUGAUAUUAAUUUUUUAAAAUUAGAUUUAUCACUAAUAUAUAUGGUUUAUAUUCAUGUUUUUUUUUUUUUUUAUGUUUAUACUUUGUAGGAAUUUGAGUAAAACAAUGGAUGUUUUAGAUUCCAUUAGCUACUUGAUAACAUUGACCUAACUUUACAUUUAAAAUAUUUUUGUUAAAACAUUUUACUUUCAUAAUAUUUUGAUAUUUUGUUUAAGUUGAAUUACUUUAAGUUAAAGAUCUAUUUAAUCUUGACUAUUUAGAAAUAUUUUAAAUUUUAAAAUUAUAUUUGUUUGGCAUUGUAUUUGUAUUGCAUAAUUUAUAAUUAAUUUAUCUUGAAUUUGAAUUAUGUUUGUUGAAUAUAUAUAUAUAUAUAUAUAUGAACAGUACAACCCCGAAACGGCACGCCGAAACACUCUGAAACUGAAACAUUUCAUUCCAAUUGAAAAAACAAGAUACCUACCGAAACAGAAUUGACAACCUUGGUUAAAAUAACUAAACACAUUGACUUUUAGCUACCCAACUAGCUUUUGUGAGAUUUAUUUAUUUUUUUAAAAAAAUAUAAAAUAUAAAAUAUAAAAUUUUUUUAUUUAAAAUUAAUAUUUUUUUUAUAUUUUCAGAUCAUUUUAAUGUACUGAUAUCAAAAAUAAUUUUUAAAAAUUCAAAAAAUAUUUUUUUAAUAUUUUUUCAAAUAAAAAAUACUUUAAAAAACAAUCAUAACUACACUUCCAAACAACUCUUUUUAACCCAAAAGGUCAAGUACAUGUCCCAAAUGCCAACAACCGAGCAUAGAAAGGUUUCAAACCCAUGGUGCCUUUUCCUUAUUAUAAAUAUAGAAUAAAAAUUAAGUCAAGGAGGUCUAGUCUUAAAUGCUCCAAACAUUAUCCAUGUCUCAAGCUUAUGUAUGAUCCAAGAAUUCAUAUUUAUUACAAAAUUAUAAUUUUAUAUGAGUUUUUAUCUUUAUGAUCCAAGAAGUUUAUAUUGUAAAUUCAAGAGUUUUAAGUUAGUAGUCAAUUUUAUAAUUCAUAAAAAUAUUUGAUCCCUGAAUUAGUUUUCUAAUUGUGUUCUUAAUCCCUGAAUUAAUUAGUUUUCUAAUUGUUUUGCAUAAAUUCUUAAGAAUAAAAAUAUUUUAACAAUAGUUUUAGUGCUAAAAAUGCUACUCUAUUCGACUUUUAAUUCAAAUUGUAUUUAUAUAGUUAAAUGUUUUUCUCUUUAAUAAAUCCAUUAUUGGAUAUGAAAUUUAUAACUUAUUUUAUAAUUCAAAAUGGAGAUUUGGUUUGUGUUUUAAGUUUUUUAUUUUUGUAAAACUGAUUGAAAAAAUAAAAAUUUACAUCAAGCCAUGUUGGCUUAACUCGAAUAGGCAAGAUCAAAGACACAAGUGAAUAAUAAAUUUUAAUAUUCAUAGUUGAUGACUGGUGGAGCAAAAUCCAACUCGGAGCUAUAGCGUUGCACUGCAUUCUUUUAAAAUUUGAUAUUGUUUUUGCUAAAAUUAAUUUUUUUAUAUAUUUUUAAAUAAUUUGAUGUUUUAAUAUCAAAAAUAAUUUUAAAAAAAUAAAAAAAAUAUUAUUUUAAUAUAUUUUUAAACAAAAAUUAUUUUAAACUAUAACUGUUAUUAUAUUACCAAAGACACCCUCAUCCCGUUACUUUGUAUAGACCUCGUAAUUUCCAAGAGAACCUUAGCCAUUCCUUUAUGCAUGUGCACGCUUUGCCAAACAAUCCUUUAGGACUAAUUUCGACUCUUCGUUGGCGAUAGCAGUGAUGGGAAUGAUGACACUUCUCUCCAUCCUUGACCAUUUCAAUUCCGAGAAACUCCCCCACCAUCCCAUAAAAAAGUAGUCCUCUUUCUUUGAAGAAUUUUCCUAAUUAGUCCUUAUAUUUUAGAUAUGGUCUUCAACAUAUUACUCUUAAAUUGCCCUUAAGACAUUUUCUAAUCUAUCCUUUUAAUAAGUAUCUUUCUUUAAGCUAAUAAAGAUAAAAUUAUUAAUUACUUUAAAAAACUCAAUCCUACCUAAUUUAUUAAAAUUAAUAAUAAUUAAAAUUUGUUUUUAUGUUAAUUUUUUCUCAUGGUUUUCUGUAAAGAAGAAACUGUAUCUAACUAUUAACAUUUUAUUUAAUAAUUAAUUAAAUUUCAAAUCUUUUGUUUUAUUAAUUUUGACUUAAACUAAUAAAAUCAACCCAUGACACUAUCAAUUUUAUUAUUAAUUAAUUUUUCCUAAAUAAUAUUAUUUUAAUUUUAAAAAAAUUAAUUCAAAAUUCUUGAAAGGAAACUAUAUUGAAUUGAUUUAUAUCAACUUGGAUUAAUUCAAACUCAAACUCAUAAUGUCAGUCAUUAUUUUUAUAAAUUUAAUCCAUGUAAAUAAAGUUUAAUAAAUCUAGAGACACUAUUGAGUAAUUUGGGACCAAAGUCUAGGACUUCGAUAAUACUUAAAUAAUAGUAAUGUUCCUACAAUAACAAUGACGUUACAUAACUUAAAGAAUUGUUUUUUUUUUUGGGAUGUACAAAGCACAAAUAAUAAUAAUUCUGGAUGCAAAACACAGGCUGCAACGCAGAUGGAGCAAGAAAUUUCGCCCCAAGAAAAAUCCAAAUCAAUGAGAGGCGAAGAGUUCUUGGUGUUUCUGCCAUUAUCAAUUUUAUUUUUAUUUUUUACUCUCUUCAUGUGAGUAUAUAAACUAUCUUAACAUUUACAAUUCAAGCCAAAAUUGAUAAUGGCAGAAACACCAAGAACUCUCUUCGCCUCUCAUUGAAGACCAGGUUCCUCCUCGCCGCCCACUCCUUUGGGAUUCGCGCCGCCAGCCGUUCCGACCACACCGUAAACCGCAGCGUAUUGAACAUCUUCGACCCCAAGGCCGCUGCUUCCGCCAAACCAAUCAAUGGGGUCUCCUCUUUCGACAACACUAUUGACCCUACCCGCAACCUGUGGUUCCGCUCUACGCCCCCACAUCCACCGCCACUACCGAUGCUCUGCCUGUGAUCAUAUUCUUUCAUGGUGGGGGCUUCGCAUUCAUGGCGGCUAACUCAAAAUCUUUUGACGUACUCUGCCGGCGACUUGCCCGUGAAAUUAAUGCAGUUGUUAUCUCUAUAAACUAUCGGCUUGCUCCUGAGUACAAGUACCCAUGCCAGUACGAAGAUGGCUUUGAUGCAUUGAAUUACAUCGAUGAAAUGACCUUUGAGAAUUUCCCAGCAAAUUUGGAUCUUGGAAGGUGUUUUAUUGCCGGUGAUAGUGCAGGAGGUAACGUGGCUCAUCAUGUCGUGCUCAAAGCUUGUGAACACACAUUUUCUAACAUAAAGAUCAAGGGACUCAUAGCAAUGCAGCCAUUUUUCGGAGGGGAAGAAAGAACAGAAUCAGAAAUCAAGCUUGUUGGGGUUCCUUUAAUAUCAGUGGAAGGUACAGACUGGAUGUGGAAGGCGUUUCUGCCUGAGGGAUCGGACCGAAACCACUCGGUGGUUAAUGUUUUCGGACCAAAUGCGGUGGAUAUUUCAGGCGUGAAGUUCCCUGCGACGUUACUCUUUGUCGGAGGGUUCGAUCCCUUGCAAGAUUGGCAGAAGAGGUACCAUGAGGGGCUGAAGAAAUCUGGGAAAGAAGUACAUUUGGUAGAGUAUCCAAAUGCUUUUCAUGGGUUUUAUUGCCUGCCUGAAUCGCCUGAAUGUUCUUUGUUGAUCGGUGAGGUGAAGAGUUUUGUGCAAAAGCAGUCAUCUCUUACAUAGGGUGAGGAGACGACGAUCUCUAUUUUAUUAUUAUAUCUUAUUUUAUUCACAUUCAAUAAUUAAAUCGUAUUUAAAUUGCAAUGAUUUUAUUUACUAUUGAAGAUAGAUUAUUAUAUGUGUAUUGAAUUGUUCAAUUAUUUGAUGUAUUAGAUUUAACAUUAAAAAAAAUAUUUUGCUUUCUAUUACCAAUCACACUAAAAUAAUGCUGCGUCCUUUGAGCCAUUUGGUGAGGAAUGGUGAUGGUGGUUUUUUUUUUUUUUUAUACUAAUUCAUAAGUUGUGGGGUUGGCAUGUUAAAUUUUUAUUUUUAAUUGAAUAAUAUUAUUUUAAAGAAAAAACUUACACAACAUUCUUUUAAAUAAAUAAAAACUCUUUGGACUUCAUACUAGUAGAUUUCACAAUAGUUUACUUGGAUUAAUCGAGUCAUAAAUUAAUCUGUUAAGUUUUUUGAGUGCUAAUUGAUUUGUUAAGUUAUUUAAAUUAAAUUAAAUUAAUUUUUUAUUUAGAUAAAAAGCAAACUCAGUUUGAAUCAGAUUUCAAAUCAGUAACUGGGUUGAUCCUUCUAAAUAAUGUAUAAUGAAAUGUGCAUGACAACUGGGUUGAUGGUUGAUAGUUUGACACAGUUCAUUUUUCAUUGUAUGUGGGAGAAAGCAAUGAAGAAGAGAAGAGGAAAAGAUGCCAAGAAAUAAAACGAAGACUUAUUGGAUGUUUGGUCUUAUUAGCAUAGCCAGUUGGAAGUGUACUGUUUCAUGGGGCUUAUUUUCACCUAUCAAAACUUUGGGUUUGUUUGGAAUUAUAGUAAUUAUAGUAGUUUAAAGUGUUUUUUUAGAAAUACAUCAAAAUGAUAUAUUUUUUAUUUUUUUAAAUUGUUUUUUAAAUCAACACAUCAAAACAAUUUAAAAUAUAAAAAAAUAAUUUUUAACAAAAAUAAAAUUAAAAUUUAAAAAAUACGAUUUCAACCACGUUUUCAAAAACUAUUUUUCUCUCUUGAUUUCUACCCCAAGAAAUCAAGAACGCUGAUUUCAUUAAACCAGAUUCCAAAGGCCAUAUUUAGAUAAAUUAGAAGAAAGGCCUAUAAACUAGCCUAACAGAUCAUACCCAGAGAAGCAAAAGCCAGAAACAAUCUAGCUCAAUUUUUUUUAUUAAAUAGACUUGUUAACAUUUUUUUAUUUAUUAGCAUAAAUAAUUUUAAAUUUAUUUAAUUAAAUAUAUAUAAGACAAGUUUAAAAAAACUAAACACACUGAUUUUUGGCUACCAAACUAGGUUUUGAUAUUAGAGCGUGUUUGAAAAUGUAGUAAUAAUUAUUUUUAAAAAUACUUUUCAUUCCAAGACACAUUAAUUUAAUAUUUUAUUAUGUUUUAAAAAUUAUUUUUGAUAUCAAUACAUCAAAAUAAUAAAAAAAACAUCUUCAUUUAAAACAAAAAAAAAAUAAUUUUAAAUUUUUUAAAAAAUACUUUCCAAAACAUAAAUGACUAACACACCUUAAGUGGCUUGACCCAUAACCUAGUCGCAAAUGCCAUCAUUUGAGCAUAAAAAGGUUUCAAUCCCAUGGUGCCUUUUCCUUAUUAUAAAUAUAAAAUAAAAUAAAAUUUAAGUCAAGGAGGUCCAGUCUUAAAUGCUCCAAACAUUAUCCAUGUCUCAAGCUUAUGUGAUCCAAGAAUUCAUAUUUAUUAUAAAAUUAUAAUUUUAUAUGAGUUUUUAUCUUAUGAUUCAAGAAGUUUAUAUUGUAUAUUCAAGAAUUUUAAGUUUAUAGUCAAUUUUAUAAUUCAUAAAAAUAUUUGAUCCCUGAAUUAGUUUUCUAAUUGUUUUGCAUAAAUUCUUAGAAAAAAAAAAUAUUUUAACAAUAGUUUUCGUGCUAAAAAUGCUAUUCUAUUCGACUUUUAAUUCAAAUUGUAUUUAUAUAGUUAAUUUUUUUUCUCUUUAAUAAAUCCAUUAUUGGAUUUGAAAUUUAUAACUUAUUUUAUAAUUCAAAUUAGAGAUUUGGUUUAUUUAUUAAGUUUUUUUAUUUUUGUAAGAUUGAUUGAAAAACAAUAGAUCGGGUCACGUCGGUUUAACUCGAAUCAGCAAAAUAAAAGACAUAAGUGAAUAAUAAAUUUCAAUAUUCAAAGUUCAAGACCGGUGGAGCAAAAUCCAACUCUGACCUAGACUUGUUUGGGAUUGUGGUAGUGGUUGCGGUUCAAAGUGUUUUUCGCUUAGAAAUGCAUCAAAAUAAUAUUUUUUUUAAUUUUUUAAAAAUUAUCUUUGAUAUCAGCAUAUCAAAACAAUCUAAAAUUAUAUAAAAAAUAAUAAAAAUAAAAUAAAAUUUUAAAAAAAUAUAAUUUACACGGAGUUACCGCACACUUGUCCAAUCAACACACAUCCAAUCUCGUUACUUUUUAUACACCUCUUAAUUUUCAAUAGAGCCUUAACCAUUCCUUUAUGCAAGUGCACGCAUUGCCAAACAAUCCUUUAGGAAAAUGAGUUGCCCUCCGACGACUUUCCAUAACUGGCCAGGAUUAAUUUGGACUCUUCGCUGGCGAUAACAGCGAUGGGAAUGAAGACACUUCUCUGCAUCCUUGACCAUUUCAAUUCCGAGAACUCCCCCACCAUCCCAUAAAAAAGUAGUCCUUCUUCUUUGAAGACUUUUCCCAAUUAGUCCUUAUAUUGUUUUUAGGUUUUUUUAAUAUAUUAAUAUAAAAAUAUAAAAAAUAUAUUAUUUUAAUUAAAUAAAAACAUUAAAAAUAUAUAUUUUGCUUUCCAUUACCAAUCACACUAAAAUAAUGUUGUGUCCUUUGAGCCAUUUGGUGAGGAAUGGUGAUGGUGGUUUUUUGUUUUUUUUGUUUAUCCUAUUUGUCUGUCUAAAGAUAAGUUGCCAUGGUGAUGGGUUGCCAUGUUAAAUUUCUAUUUUUAAUUGAAUAAUGUUGUUUGAAAGAAAAACUUAGAUAAAAAAUAAAUAAAAAAUCCUUCGAGUUGGUAUUAUAUUUUAUAAUAAUUUAUUUUUUAAAGUGUUUUUUAUUUGAAAAUAUAUCAAAAUAAUAUAUUUUUUAUUUUUUAAAAAUUAUUUUUGACAUUUACACGUCAAAAUAAUCUAAAAAUAUCAAAAAACAAUUAAUUUAAAAUAAAAAAUUAAAUCUUUUUAAAAAUACUUUUAAAACCCAAAAACAAAUAUAUCUUAACAAAUCACUAAUUAAUUUGUUAAAUUACUUGAGUACCGAUUAAUCUAUCGGAUUAUUUAAAUUUGAACGGAUCAAUCUUUUACUUGGAUGAAAAGCAAACUCGGUUUGAAUCACAUUUCAAAUCAGUAACGUCACCAGGUGACCCAGCUAGCUGGUUUUUGCUGGCUGUGUUUUUGUACAUGUCUAGGGGCAGGGAAAUGUAUAAUGAAAUGUCCAUUUUUCAUUGUAUGUGGGAGAGAAGCAAUGAAGAAGAGAAAGAGGACAAGAUGCCAAGAAAUAAAACGAAGACUUAUUGGAUGUUUGGGGGCAUAUCAAAAUUUCAGGCCUAUUUGGAUUUAUAUUACUAUAGUUUGAAGUAUUUUUUAUUUAAAAAUGUAUUAAAAUGAUAUUGUAUUAUUUUUUAAAAAUUAUUUUUUAGAUCAAAAUAUUAAAACCAUCUGAAAACAUUAAAAAAAAAUUAGCAAAAAAAAUUGAAAUUUGAGGGAACGCUAUUUCAACCGCGUUCCCAAACGCUUUCUUCAUGUUUUUUCAAUCAUAAAGUUACUAUAAAAACACAUGUGUGUUUGGUAUUAUCGUAUAAGAUAUUUUUCGUUUAAAAAUAUAUUAUUUUUUUUAACAUCAACGUAUCAAAAUCAUUGAAAAAUAUGAAAAACCCAUCAAUUUAAUGUUAUUUCGAAUCAAACACAUUUUUAAAACAUACUUAAAUGCAUUUUCAAACCCAAAAAUAAAUGAUAUCUUUAUAAUUAUAGUUCAGAAAACAAUCUCCUACAUCUAAGCACAAAAAGGUUUCGAAGUUAAAAAUAAUCUUAUAGAAGCAUGUGUAUCGUCUUAACUCUAGAUGUAGGGAUCAAGAUUUUAUAAAUCACGUCUAUGCUACUCUCUAGUUUUAAAUAUUCAAAACAAGGCUCCAUUAUCAUAUAUUCAUAGAGACAUACCAAUGUAGCUUUUGAUGUUUACCGGUUUGGGUAUGUCCAUAUGCUUUUAAAUAUAUUUUAAAAUUUAUAUUUUUCUUAAAAAAAUAUUAAAUUAAUAAUUUUUUAGUUGUUUUUAAUAAUUUUGAUGUUUUGAUAUUAAAAACAAAAUCUAAAAAACUUAUUUUUAAAAAAUUCUCUAUAUAACAGUAUCAAACACAUGAUAACCUGGUCCAAAAGCUUUCCACCGAGCAUAAAAUGGUUUUCAACCCAAUCAUACUUUUUCCUCAUUAUAAAUAUAAAAUAAAGUUCAUGUGAAGUAGGGUCCAAUCUUAAAUGGUUCAAACAUUUUUUUUUUUUUAUUAACGUGGGUGUCCGGGCCAGCUUGCACGCACCUCGACUAAUCCCACGGGCCCUAAAGUUAACGACCAUAUAAGCCUCCAGUUGCCAUCAUAUGAGCAAUCUAAGGAUUGAACCUGAGAUCAUAGAGGAAGCAAAGCUUUUGGUCCCAAGCUUUUACCGUUGGGCCACCACCUAGAUAGUUAAUGGUUCAAACAUUAUUGUUAGAACGUGACAGUGUCCCAGCAUUAGUAGUGUAGCACGUGCCAUCUCUUAAGCUUAUGUGAUCCGAAAACAAGGCAAUUGGUGUUUGAUGAAAUUAGUUGUCACUAAAAAUAAAAUAAAAUAAAAUCCUCUUUGAACUAAUUAAUUACUCAAUUAAUUCCUAAAUUAGUUUUUUAUUGUUUCUCACAAAAUUUAUAAGAAUAAAAAUAUUUUAUUAGAUGUUUUAGAUACUCUACUAUUAUAAUAUUUUAUUUAAGUUUAGAUUUUUAUUUCAAAAUUGAAUUUUAUUUAAUAUAACAAAUAUUACAUGUUUUAUUUUAUCUGAUAAAUUUUGAAGUAUUAUUGGAUUUUAUUAAUUUUUUAAAAAUAAUAUUUUAAAAGAGUACGAAAUGUUGGAUACGAUGUUUUUACAAUAACGCAAAACACAACAAACAUUGAUGCUAUGCUGAAUCCUUGAAACCGUAAUAUACACUUCAUAAGAAACUGUAAUAUAACAAACAGAGGAUCUGUAAGUUUCAGAGAACGACAUCAAUUUAAUUACGCGAAGUUCAAUCCUUUUUCCUCUACAAAUUAAAUCAUGUACGUAAACCUGUUACCUACAUUUUGUAAUAUUUCUGGAUCUGCUCUUUGAUUCAUCAAGGACAGAGUUGAUUGCAGCUUCGUCAUAGAAAAGUUCGUCUUCUUCAUCUUCUUGGUUGGCGAGGAAAUAUAAGUGGAAGUAUUUGAUAGCUAAGAACUCAGAAUCCAUGAGAUGAAGUAUUUGGCAAAGCCUUCCCCGUGAUUGGAGCAAUCUCACUAAGUUAUCGACGUAAUGGCUAGAAUUGUCUUCCUCUUAACUAAUCUUUAGCAAAUUAUCUUAAUAUGGUUUUACCAAAAAGAAAAUAAUAAAUUUCAGGAACGUCAUCCUCGUGGAUGCUAUAAUCUGUAAUUAUUGGCAAGGCUUUAAUAUAUUGUACAAAUAGAUUGAAGAAACAGGAGGCCUACGCAUUUAAUUUGGACUUCCUCGUGGAUGCUAUUCCUUCAAAUAUGGACUAAAAUUGUUUUAUAUCACAGAAAGCCUUAAUUAGAAAAUAACUUCAUAUUCUGGCGGUAGAAACCCCACGAACGCAAUCAAGUAUUUGCUUCAAACAAUAAGAGGGAGCUUCAGUGCAGCAGGAAACUUCAACAUCUAUUAUUAAAAUUGUGUUUGGUAAACGCUAGGUAAAUUAUGUGUUUAUAAAUUUUAAUUUUUUUUAUAAAAAAUUAUUAUUAUUAUUAUGUUUUCAGAUCAUUUUGAUGUGUUAUAUCAAUAAAAAAAAUAAAAAAAUAUUAAAAAAAUUAUUUUGAUGUAUUAUUAAAUAAAAAACACUAGUUUAUCUUUUGAUGUUUUUCGGUUUAUAAAAUGAACAGUGAACAGUUUACAUUGAUAUACUAUUCUUGUGAGCAAGAGAAUUGUACUGUUCACUUAAAAAAUAAUGAACAGUGCAAUUCACUUGUACUAUUCACGGAUGAAUUGCACUGCGAGUACUUUUUUUUUUUAGUGUUAAUUUUUUCAAUAUAUUUUUCUAAAAAAACACUAGUUUAGAGUGAAUUAAAUUCACUUGCAAUGUGAUGUGAAUAAUAUUUGUUUUCCCUGAAAAAGUAGUCUAGAUUGAAUUAAAUUCACCCGCAUUGUAAUAUCAAUUUUAUACCCGAUAAUAUUUUAUUUAAUUUGAUUAUAUGCUCAAAACAUUAUAGAAAUUGUAGUUCUUGUCGGAUGUAUUUUGUACAUAAUGGAAUUGUAGAUGGUUUCAUGGAAUAAUAAAAAAUAUUUUAUAUAAAGUAUGAUUUAUUUCAUGAUGUAAUAGCAAUAGUUAAAUCUACAAUAUUUAAAUUAAAAAUCAUCAAUAUUAAUAUAUAUUUUUUAAAAUUAUUUUAUAACCUCAAUUUCAAAAGCAUUCUUACCCAAACAUAUUAAAUUACUUUUUUUUUCAACUUCAAUUUCAACUAUAUUUUUAACCAAACACCUAUUUUUUCAAACCAAUCUCAACUAAAAAUAUUUUUUAUAAAAAUAAUUUUUUUCAAAUCACAACCACAACAUCUAUCGCAAUACUAAACACACUGAAAGACCUAUAUACCAGCCCAACAAAUCAUACCCAGGGAAGCAAAAGCCAGAAACAAGCUACCUCGAUUCUUGCUCCACCUGGGUAAGAAAUGCAGCAUGCCCACUUGGAAUUAUACAGCGUCCAAAUUCCAUGGCAAAUAAUUGGUUGGAAUUGUUUUCUGAGGGGUCAUUUCAAAAUCUGAAAAUAAAAACAGAAAAUAGAUCCAGCAAAUGAUUCCAAAUAUCUUCUAAAAAAACGAUGAAAUAUGUUUUUUUAUUUACCGUAAGGAAAGAUAUUAACGAAAUUUUUUUUAAAAAAAAUCAAUUUAAAAAAUAUAUAACAAGUCAAAAUCUAUACUUAAAAUCUUUCUCGUUUUAAAUUUAUAAUUGAAUCAAAUAAAAUAUUAAUUUAAUAAAACAUAGUUAAGUUUUUGAUAGUUGAAUAUUUAGUAUAACGGUGACGUACUAAACUAUUAAAUCUUAACAUAAAAAGGAAUUUUUAUUAUAUACCCACGAAUCGGUACAAAAUCUAUAGGUUUUUAUAAAAUGAAUUCCUGAACCUAGUCGAAGAACUGUGGCAAAAACAGUUUCAGGAUUCCAACCUAACACAUGAAUGGGGUGGUUAUAUUUUGUGUUGUACACUUGAGAUUAUUUUUUCUCGGUAUCAUUUUUACAAAAAACUAUUAUUAUUAUAUGAAAUCAACAAAAAUUCACUCACCAAUCAUUCAUGGAAAAUUCAACUUUUUUAUAUAUAAAAAGGAUUUUUAUCAAAGAGGUUGAAUUUUUAAGUUGGUGGUGGAUUGACUUCUAAUAAUUCCAGGGUAAAUAAUAAUUCCAGCAUUAGAUUGAUUAAUUAAUUACACUUUAUUAGUUAUUUUUUAGAUCUUAUUAGCUUUGAUAACAUUGAACUAGUUUUAUAUUUAAAAUAUUAGUGUUAAAAUAUUUUAAUUUUAUAAUAUUUUGAUAUUUUAUUGAAAUUGAAUUGUUUUAAGUUAAAAAAUUAUUUAAUCUUAACUAUUUAAAAAUAUUUUAAAUUUUAAAAUUAUAUUUCAUCACGUCUCCAUGAUCCCCGUUGUGUCAAAAACAAAUUGCCUAGAUUUUAGGCUUUAGCAGUUCCUUUUUUGAAAUCCUUAUUAGUAAUAUUUCACGACUCAUUAUUUCUAUUAUUUUUAUUCCAUUUUAGCAUUUCAUACUCAUCAAAACCACUAGAACACAAUCAAGCUCUAUCUUCAAACAACCAGGGAGAUUUUAUAGGGAUAAAAUUUUAAAAAUCACGCCUAUACUACUUUCUAGUUUUAGUAUUAAAUUUAGUAUUUAAAAAAUAUGUUUAUGAAUAUGGCAGUUUCAGGUUUAGAAACCAAAACUGCCAUAUUCAUACUCUCUUAGACAUUUUAAAAAUGUGUGUAGAAGAAUAUUUUCACUGAUGAUUUAUAAUAUUAGGUUACUUUAAUGAUAAAUCAAUAUAGUAUUUUUUUUAUUUUUUGGAUUUUCAUCUUGGAGAAAUUCAAUAGGAUGAAAAUAUAAUAUUAAUCAAACUUCAAAUUAUAAUUGUUUAUCUAUCGAGUUAAAAAAAUAUAUGACAAUUCAGUAGUCUUUAAUGAAAUAAAAAAAAUGAAAAAUGUUAUUUAUGUAAUUGUAAGCAUACUAUAUUAUAUUACUUUACAAAGGAACGAAGGACAUCCUUUGCGUUAGGAUGCUAGGAUUUCUUUAAGAGAAGGGGGAGGAGAUGGCUGGCCAUUUUCAAGCAACGGAAGACAAAUUGGCAUCCUCUUCAGCUUCUCACAAAACUCUACAUAAAUAUCUUCAAGAGAAUUGCAAAUCAGUUUUGCACUGCAAAUGCUUUUCAGUUCUGGUAAUUUAUACAAUCGCAGAGUUGUUAACUUUGGGAGAAUGACUUCCGUGAUGGAAUUGGAGGUGCUGCUUUCUUCAUCUGUUGUUCCUAUUAUCUCCUCCAUUUUCUCACAAUCAUUAACUUCAAUCCUUUCCAGGUUUACGAGGUUUGGCAGCAACACAAGUGGGAACAGCUUCUUCAUAUUGUUACAUCCAUAACAAAAAAACCUUUUAAGACUAGAAAAGAUACCAUUAUAUGGUGGCAAUGGUGGUGGAGCAGAGCAGAACCAAGAAGAUGAAACCAAGCUCUCCAUGUUAUUGCAAUACCGAAUGCUGAUGCGCUCCAGUUCAGUUGCAUUCUCUAAUGACAAAACAUCACAUAAACUUCUUGCAUCGAUAAAUUGACAAAUCAGUCCUUGAAUGCAAUUUAAGAACUUGACCUGAAAAUCUCUAUCUCCGUUGAUACUCAAAUUACCCAACCCAACUGUUUUACUUGGAAAAUCUUCAAGGUAUUGCUGUAAAUAUCUACCCACCUCUCCUACUAAAAUCUUGCAUGUGCUUAAUGAUAGGAUCCCAUCCCGAGAUCUGAGAUACUCCACGAAGUCAGAAAAACCUUCGAAAUGGCAUUCCAAAGUUUCCAAAUUUCUCAAGGAUCCUACUUCCUUUCCUUUAACUGUUAUAGGAGCAUCAUCUUGCAUCAUAAACUUUUCUAGUACAAAGACUUGCAGGUGGGAGAGUUUUGGUAAUAUACCACUAGGAAACUCCUUUUCACCACAUUCAUUCAUUAUAAGAUACCUCAGGUUGGUUAGGCAUUCCAUUCCUUGCGGUAUCUUUUCAAGUGCAGUAUGAGAGAGUCUUAAUUUCUCACAAUUAUUGAGCAAUAAUGUUGUGAGGCUCACCAAAUCAGAGACAGAGUCUGGCAAUUGCUUGAAAAAUGAAUCCGCAAUAAAUCCCAACAACCGAUUUUCACAUAGCAAUAGAGUUGAUAGAUAGGGACACCUAGGUGAAUGGUUGGAAGGAAUUUCUUCGAUCAUGUUUUCCAUUAGUGAAACUCUCGUCAGAUUCUCCGUCCACUCCUCUGCAUCUGGCAACUCUUUUAAUUGUGCACCUGCUUUGACCAUGCCUUGAGAGUUCUCUAGCAGUAUUCGGAUGGCCAUGUCCCUAAUCAAGUCAUGCAUCUUGACACGUCUAAUAUCAUCAUACUUUAUUUUAGCACUUUCCAAUAGGCAGACAUUUUCAAGUCGAUUAAGCAUCGUGUGGCCCUCAUCAAAUGCAUCUCCCCUGCUCCUCUUUCCUUUAAUUAUUCCCUCAUCGAUCAAAUAACCUAUCAACUCCUCCCUUUCAAUCUCAUCAUCUUCAGGAAAUAAUGCACAGUACAAGAGACAUUGUUGUAGUGCUAAAUCACCUAACCGAUCAUAACUAAACCUCAAUAACUUGAAUACUUAAUUGUCCCUAAAUUCUGAUUCUCUCAAUUUGUUCAAUGCAUUUCUCCACUCAUAUAGGUCAUCCACUCCCCUCAAGCUUCCUGCCACUGUAAUAAUUCCUAAUGGCAAACCAGCACAUUCCCUUGCAACAGCUUUCGCAAUUCCUUCCACUUCUGGUGAAAGUGCUACAUCACGUUGAAGCUUCUCCAUAAACAAAGUCCAAGCUUCUCCAUUAGAAAGUGGCUUCACUUUGAUUUUGUGUUGGCAAGCCAUCCGAUGACAAACCGUUUCUGAUCGAGUUGUCAUAAUCAGCUUGCAUCCUUCCAACUUUUCAGGAAUUCCCACUUUGUGUAGCUCAAAAUUGUUCCACAAAUCAUCUAAAAUGAGAAUCCAUUUUUGUUUCUUCCUUAGUUCUUCUGACAAUUUGGCAGCUCUAUGCAGUUCAUCAUUUUUUCUUGAAAGAUCUAGAUCAAGAUGUUCAGCAAUAAGAUUCUGCAAUCUAUUAAUGCUGAAAUCUUGAGACACAGUCACCCACCAAACAUUAUCACAAAUAUCUGGUCUUUGUAGAAGCUCAUUAUGGAUAUGUUGCAGUAUUGUGGAUUUACCAACUCCCCCCAUCCCAUAAAUGCCAAUGGUUGAGACAUCCCCAUCCAUUAACAAAUACCAUAUCAUCUCCGUAUUCUCUUCGAAUGCUUGACCCACUGGCUUUGUAGAGCUAGUAG